rnacentral:lncRNA from 1 species
AACUCAAUAGGGGCUAAUCAAAUUCCGUAAGGAUAAAGCUGAACGCCAUACUGCUCCUUAUCCUUGAAUUCCCGUAGCUUUUGUCUUAGCUCUGGCUGAGGCCACCAGCAAUCGAACUUGUUUAAGCUCUUUAUGCCCCAGAGCUGUUCAGGCAUCUUUUUCAAGUAAGCACAAGGGUUGAUAAUCAAGCAUUCUAGUUUUGGCAUGGCUCCAAUCCCCAUAGUCCACUCCCCUAGCCAUAGCAUUGAUUUCAGGUGCAAUACCUUGAGAUUUGGAAAACCAUCAGAGCCACAAGUCAGCUUCCUACCUGAAUACGAAUUUUGCUUCAGUUUGAGCACUUGAAGAAGCGGCAGCUUUUCUAGUGUCGGCAUGGGAUCAUCCAUUAGGUCAGUAUUAGAAAAACUCAAGUGGGUUAGACUAUGAGGAAAUAGGUAUUCAGCAAGGACGAUUUUGGAGAGCCGUGGCAUCUUGCUUUCAUUCGCCAGCUUCAAUGACUUGAGAAAGCUCAAUCUGCAGAGACUUUUGGAAAACAAAGAUUGAUUAUAACUUAAAUCUCCCCGUAUUCGGAGAUUUUGAAGAUUAGGUAGCCUGCCCAAUAUAUCUUCAGUACAGCAGCAAGGAUGCAAGGCCGAAAUGAAAUUUAGAUUUUCCAGAGAGCCACAAUAUUUUCCUGGAUGCGCAGGAAGUGUGAUUGACCCAAAAUUUAGAUGCCUGAGUUUGUUCAUCUUCCAAAAUUCAUCUGCUGUAUGAUCUAUGUAGCUAAAGGGCAUGUCUAGGGUGUAGAGGUUUAGAAGAUUGCUUAAUAAUGAGGAAGGCAGGCUUUUGAGGGAAGGGAUAUUCAACUUCAAAUAUCUCAAAAGAAAUAAAUUUUCAAUUUCGGAUGGAUAUUGGUUGAGAACAAGAGAUCCCAAGUCCAAUAUUCUGAGAAGUUUGAACAUUCCACAAAUUUUCUCCCAAUCUAUGGGGUCAAAGUGGCAGCUUUCUGGAGAGCAGCACAAUAAAGAAUGCAGUUGCGAGUCAUAAUCAUCUAAGCAAUCAAAAUCACCCUCUCUUUCAACAGCGUUUAACCGUUUGGCUCUUUUUCCUGAUUCACUAUCGAUGGAAGGGGAAAAGAUGAAUUCCACCUCAGAAGAAACUGUGAACAACACGGGACGCCAACGACCAGGAAUAGAGCAUGUGUUGAUAGUGCCUCCGGCUUUUCUCUUCUUUGCUUCAACAAAGCCUUCCUUGAUAAGUUGUUCCAAGUAACUCUCAGCAGUUGCCUCACUAUUGUCUGGAAUGAAACCUUCAGCUAUCCACAACUGAUAUAACUGCCUGGUGGAUAUCUCUAGGUGUACGGGAAACACAGAUAAGUAGAUAAAACAAGGUUUCAAGCAAAACGGUAACAUGCAACAUUUGAAGUACCGAAGCACAAGGGGUAUCUCCACUGCUUCCCCUAUAUUUUCUUCUAAUGAGAUGCUUCCAUGAUAUAAGAUGAGGAAAGGCCAUCCUUGGUAUGUAGCUCUCAAUGGUCCUCCAGUGGGCACUAAAUCAAGCCGAAUGUUCUCUCCGUCUUCGAGCUGAAAUGAGGUGACCAUCUUAAUUUCAGUGAGUGUUAUUAAUACUCUACUUCUAUUCUGAUUAUCCGGGAGUAUUUCUCGAAUAAUAGCCCAUACUUCAAUGUUCCACACAUCAUCAAUCACAAUCAAAUACUGCUUGGUCAUUAGAUAUUCAUGAAGAAUAAUUUUUUUCAUUUCAUAAUUUUUAUCCUUCAUUUCACUCAACCUAGAUGAAGGCAUCAGAAACUUAAUAAUGAUAUCUAAUAUUUGGUCAGCAUCAUAUUCAUUGCUGUAAGGUUCUGUAAUCCAAGCGUGACAAUCAAAAUAAUGCUUCACAUAACUGCUGUUGUAAGCCUCUCCGGCGAAAGCCGUCUUGUCCAACCCAAUGCUAUCAAGUAUGGCCACCACUGAAAGCUGAGGUGGUCCCUCAAUCAAUAGAUCUAACAACUCCUCCAUUCUAUCAUCUAGACCCACCGUGUCCCUACUUUUAGAAGAUGAAGAUAUACCUGCUUCAGCUUUAAAAGUUUUGAUGCGAUCAAUGAUUUCGGAAUCCAUGUGCUUAAGUUGUUGCAUUCGUUGCUUAAUAUCAGUGAUUCUGCUUUGGAGUCCUUGCAGAGCAUCAAAAAUGUCCUUGCUGCCGCUGCUUUGACUCUUCUGUUGAGUGAUGCUGUUGAUGAAUGUGUCAAUGACCCUCUCAGAUUCAUACGUAAAGCAAUUGAUUUCAUCCAUAACGGUCGCCAGAUCUGGGUUUUCAAUUUCAUCUUCUCCGAUCUUUUCCAACAUAAGCAAGGAAGUUUCAUCUUCAAAUUCACUCAGCCAAGAAGUAACGAUUUCAACCUCCGCAUGAAGGUUGUGAAUAGGUAGUUUUGCAGCAUCAGGCAACGUGACUUCUUCACCAGCUAACACCCUUCUCAGCCUCUCUGAAAAUAGUCUGAAGUUGAUGUCCAUAUCUCCUCCUCUCUCAGAUUCACCCCGAAAUCAGUCCUAUAAAAGGACAUCGUCAAGAAGUUGAAUAUGCUUUAAAGCUCGCAAUUCAAACAUUAGUGCUGGCUCCCAUACCUCCCUUCUCUUAGCUAGUUCUCCAGUCAAGAAGUUGAAUCAAGAUCGUUGACUCUCAAAUUAGAACAGAUCAAGGCAGAAUCUUACAAUAAUCUCGUCUCCCAUAUGAUGAAAAAAGAAUAAAGCAGAGAAAAAUAAACAGGACAUCGUCAAGUAUCGAUCAAGACCAAUUUGUUUUAUACAUCCACUUUUAAGAAAGGAAGGGUAAAAACAAUUCCACUGGGACUAUAAAAGCUUGUCUGAAAAGAAAAGAACGGAGCAAGCACAAGAGCGUUAUCAAUUAUUUAAUAAUUAAGCUGUGGAAAAAUGCCAAAUCAUGUCUGGUGUUAAAUGUUAAAUUUAUUGCGAGACUUGCAUGUAUCUUGCAUGUAUCUAUAUCACAAAUAAAAUUUGUAUCCCAGGGUUAUAAAUGUAAAAUUACUCAAAUAAAUAUGCAUUCUUAAUCAUGUGUGAUGCUGUCUUAUUUCUUCAACCAGAUUUAGAGAAAGUACUAAAUCGUUUGUAAAAUUUUAUAGUUAAUAUAUGUUCAAUUUUCUUUUUAGCAUUCUUUUUUAAGAGAUGAAAAAUGAUAAAGAGUUCUAACAACGGGUGACAAAAAUAAUAGUAAAUUGUGUACUGUUACAAUGUUAAUUGAAAAAUAGUUAUAAUUUUUUAUUUAACAUUAUAAAUAAAAUCUAUAGUUGUUUUCUCACUACUGUAUCAUUUUUUGAUUCAAAUAUCAGUAUUAUAUGAACUCUUUGAAAGGAUUACAUCAUAUGACACUAUUUAUAAUUAUUUUCAUUUGAGCCCUUAGUGUUAAAAAUAUAACAAUCCAUCAAUGAAAUCAAUGAUAAUGGAAUUCUAAGUAGGAAUGGCAGAAAAAUCAAGUCUAGCUAGAGCUAGUUUUCUAAGUAUUCUGGCUGGUCUUGGGCUCCGGCUAAAAAGUCCGAACCCAGCUCGAAAGCCAAAAAAAUACUGAAAAUUUUAAAAAUUGUAUAAUUCCAAGCCUUAAAGACUUCUCCAAAUGUAUGGUACAACAUUGCAUAAUAGGACCAAUCACAUGGAGAUGAUUUGUACAUUAUUGUACACAAUUUUAGUAUGCAUAUCAGAAGAGAGGCAGCAAUCUUAGUUGAUACUUUUAUUUGACAUAUGAUGUAAGAAACGGAACAAAGAUUGUAACGUUACAAAUUUUGCUAUUCAGCAUCCAAAAUAUCACUAGAACUUGCAAUACAAGCUUUAAUCUCUUCAACAACCCGUCGAAUUGCGGCCAGGAACACAAACGCAGAGAUGGGUAUCAAGAUCGCAUUCGAAAUCGACUGACAGGGAUUGUCACAGUUGGCAUUGCUUUUACAAGUGACUGCUUUUGAUUCCGGUUGAGCAUCAACUGCCGGCAUGGAAAUAUCAAACAACACACCUGCAUAUAUAAAUGGCAAUCAAUUAAUUAGCCUAAUGCUAAUAACACGCCUGCAUAUAUAAAUGCCAGCCAAUUAGUUGUCAUAUUAUAGUUAAUUAUGCAUGCAUUAAAAAGAUGAGGAAAAUAAGAUUAAGGAACAAACAUGAGGCUACCAAGAGAGUGAUGAAAAAUGCGGAUUUAAGUUUAAGUUACAUAAUGUUUAUGUAAGCAAAAGUGCAAAACUGAGAGUCUGAGGAUAAUGAUAUUAUUAAAUUUAAUAUGGGUUUGGUUUGUAUAGAUUCAUGAGUUUCUCUAGACAUUAUAUAGGGGGGGGGGGGGGGGGGGGGGGGGAAUUUAAUCCACUUGACAACUAAAAAAUUCAGAAAUCAAACCUCGAUUUGACAAAUUAGAAAUUUAAAAAUUAAAUUUUUUUCCAUAUGCAGGCUCUCGUUUUUCUCUCUAUCACAACGGUAUAAUUGGAAUUAUUGUUAUGACAAUUUGAUUCUCUUUUCUUACAUGUUGCAGGAGUCAUGUCCUCCCGUUGAGGUGACAAAAUGACUAUGGAUUGUGCCCGAGUGGAGUACACCACCAGUAUGAUUAUCUCACUCCCUUUCGAGGUUUUGUUGCAGUAAUUUCUCAUCUUUUAUAGGGUACCCUGCUCUUCAUUGCUUCUGUAAAAGUCUUAUGAGCUAAUUGCUUCCGAAUCUUUAAAUUUCUUCAAUGAGGAACCUUUGUUUGGAAAAUCGAUUUUCAUCUGAUCCGAGAAGGUUGCUUUGAAGCAGAGAGCUUAUGAAAUGCAGCAUGCAAAAUCAUGACUACAAUGCAGUAGACUAAUUGUUAGCUCACUCUAAGCAAAGGCAACGUUCAUAAAAGAUGAAGAAGAGUUUCUAAUAUUUACCAACAUAACUGAUAGCAAGUGCACAGAAUAGAGCUAUCUGAACAUUCAGAAGCAUAAGAACAACCAAUGUAGCUGCAAAGAUGAGAUGUAAUUACUACUGUGAAGUCGACGAAAGAAUUCCACUAUUUAUCAACAGCUAGACUGUAGUAUAAUGGAAAGACCUGCCAAGGAAAGUUUAAAGCAAAACUUAUCCAGAGAAGGCAAGAACAUAAGUAUAGAAGCAGAAGUGCACACAUUCAUAUUUAGGGGUAACGAGAAAUGUAUCAUAAAUCACUUGCUCUAGCACAGUACUAUUUCAUGCUAAUUUUCUUGCUCGUUCUAUGGUUAGGACCCUUUGAGCGGAAAGAAAUCAAAUCACAAUGCUUAUUCUAGCUAGAAACUCCUGAAGUCCAUGCUUGAACCCUGUGUCGAUUGGUCAUAGACUCCAUAUUCUCCUCUCCCAAAAGUAUGACAUUUUUUUCUUCCACUGAUUAAUGGAACUUAAAACUGUUUUGCCACAAUCUUAGUCAUACAAACCCUUUCUCUUUACAUUUCUUAAGGUCAUCAGACCCAAGCCAGAACAUGUUUACUUCCUAGGAGAAAUCUUAAAUAUCUUAAUCAAUACGGAACUGUGUAGUUCAGACAGCAUUCCCUUGGCCAACUAGACGUAAAGAUUUGCAAUGUCCUAGUAAGUCUAUGAGUGGAACUAACAGUGCCCUUCCAAUACGGAAAAACAAUCAUCAAAAACAAUUUUUUUACCCCAUCAACCACAUACAGUAUAAGACUGUAGCAGGUUAUCUCAAUAUCGGCUGCCAUUUUGAUUCAAAGAAGAAAUAUUUGAGAACUCACCACAUUGUGCAAUGCGAACCAGAACCUGCCUAAUCACAGGAUGCCAAUCCCAGUUCCAUUUGUCACUACAGAACUUGAAAAAAUCCCAAAGUGCCAAACUUGAUAUCAACCCAACAAGAGCAAGUGGCAUCUGGUAUCUAUAAGAUGGAGACAGAGACAAUGUCACUAGACAGAUGAUACACAGAAAAAAAAAAAAAUGUAAUACAACUAACACACACAAUACUAUGAUUAAAAAAAUAUCUCCAUCAGUUAAAAACUAAACAAUGGAAAGGCGAGACUCUAUGAACUAAUGCCCUGAACCAGCACAAAUACCAAUUCUCCUGGAGUAUUUUAAGUAUUCAUAUAGUUGUUUCAAAGCACAGGAAAAAAAACAAACAACGCAAAAUUGCAAACUCAUAGUGUUGUUAUUUAUCAAUUGGAACCCAGAAAAAAAUAGCUGUAAUUUAAUUAUUCAUUUAAGCAGAUUGAAACCCUUACAAACACAGGUAAGCAAAUCAAAAUUAUCAUUAAAAAUCCAAUCAAGGCCACAUAAAUCUAAUCACAUCCAAAAGCAUCCCAAAAUCUCGUUCAAUAUUCAUACAACCACAUACAAAAACCAUUCAAAAAUUUAAUUUUUUUUAACUCAAAAUAAUAACUCAGAAAAGGAAACAAAAUUCUUACAGAGAGCAAGCAAAGAAGAGGAUGAACAAAGAAGCAUAAUUCCUGGCAUAACGUUUAACAUUCUCAUGAACUCUCAACUUAAGGGUGUGUGGGGAAGAUGGAAACGAGAAAGACCCAAGAGCCCCAAUAAACUCACGGGUCCAAGACGGGGUGUUGGCUGAGAAAUCAUCAGUGGUGAGUUUAGCAAAAGGGUUGGCGGUAAGAAGAGAGAUAAAGGUGUAUAAAUAAUGUAAAAGGCUGUGAGUUAAGGUCGUGGCUGUGGCUGUUUCUUUGGUGGAGGCUGUUGUGACGGCGGUGGCCGACGUGGUGGUGGCGGUGUCGAGGAUUUCGAGGUAGCCGGACUCGCGUAGCCAUGACUCGAAUGCUGGGUCGGGUACGUUUAGAGAUAACGGGUUGGAUGCGAAUACCUUCCCCAUUACAAAAAGCUAUCCAAUUUCGGUUGAAUGAGGGUCACUAAAUUAUCAAAAUAUUAAUAACUAAUUUUUAACAAAAUUCAUAUGAUAUGAUAUGAUGAUAUAGGCCUUGGUUAGUGGUUUUCUAAACAAUUUAUUAUUAUUAUUAUUCUCUUAAUCACUCCAAGUUUAAAUUUGGAAGAUGUAGGGGAUAGAAAUAAAUUAUAUUAGGAUUUGUCGAUUUGUCAAUAAAAACUUCAGUAUUAUAUGCUUAAUUUUUUUAAAGAAUUUUCUUUGAGUAUUGUUUUGAGUAAAUAAUUGUAAUUAAUUUAACAUGCUUAAGGACUUUUAGUAUUUUAAAGACCAUACAAAGUAUAACUUAAUUUUUUAAGUUUAAUAGAUGAGUGUGUAGAACAAUAAAGUAUUUAAAGUAAUUAUUAGAGGAUAAAUAGGCAUAUCCAAUACUCUUUUUUUUUUUUGAAAACAAAGUAAACCUUUCAUAAAUCACAACACCUCAAAUACAACUUGAAUCUUGGCUGGAAUAGUUCCUAGCCACAUAGAAGAAGAAUUUCUUCCCAAAGCUAACUUAGCUAGGGAGUUGGCAUAAGCAUUACAUUGUCUUAGAAUGUGAUGAACAAUAACUUUUUGAAAACCUUUCAACUGAUUUCGGAUCUCCAGAAUUGUCCAAAAAAAUUCUGUUUUGCUGCCCUUGGUAUUGUUUACAAGUUGAACCACCUCUAAGCAAUCUGACUUAAUGAUCAAGGAGGUUAAAUCUGCUUCUUUUGCCAACUGAAGCCCCCAUUGCACAGUCUCUGCCUCAACCAAACUGACUGGUCCCUUAAGAUGAAUCUGAUUAAUACCGGCUGCAAUUAUCUUUCCAUUAGAAUCUCUAAUCACUGCUCCCACGCCUGCAAUCUGAUUCUUAGUAUUAAUGGCAACAUCCACAUUAAUUUUGAAAAUAUUUUCAGGGGGAGGGAACCACUUUUGUUGUUUCUCUCCUCUGGGGUGGGCAAUAUGAGAAGGCUUUUUCUUUCUUACUCUUUGAAAAGCUGAGCCUUUACAACAUGAGCAGGGAGGGGACUCCACUUUUGAUGCAUCAUAGAUAGUUUCUUCUCUGCAAAAACUUUGCCCAAAUUUCUUAAGUUUCUUAAAGGCAUCCAUCAGAUCUGCCUUUGCAACACUUUCCACAAAGUAGAAACUUUUCUUCUCAAAAUUCUGCAUCAUAAAAUACAAAACCAAGCAAAAUCAAAUGAACCCCAGAUUUGUAAAUCUGGGUAGACAAACAAUAAUAAACCACCACAAAUCUCUAGAUCUGAGUGGAAGAACAUACCACCACAAAUUUGAAAAUAUGAGUGGAAGAACAAAACCACCACAGAUAUGAGGAUCUGAGUGGAGAAAAUAAGUAAAGAAAAUAAAAAAGGAAUGAAAAAAGAAGGUUUCGCCGGAAAACGAACUCAUAGAGCUGAUUUUCCGACGAAAGAAGAAGGUGAAAUGUUAUUGGAUGUUCAGAGCCUUUUUUUUCUGGAAAGGCAUAUCCAAUACUUUAACUUAUGGUUGGUUGUUUUUUUCACAUAAUUUUCUGAUUUGAAUUGAAUCAAUUACAAGUUGUGACUCGAGCUCAAGAGAGUUGAAGAGAAAGAAAAAGAAAAAUGGAGUCCUUCUCUUGUCCCUUUUAAGUGAAUAUAUUUAGGUUGGGUACCGCAGGGUAGUUGAUGAGCAUAAUUUAUAUACAUAUUUUACCCUUAAUUAUAUAAUUACUAGCUAUUUUCAUUGGUCAUUUUUAAUUAAUUGAAUUAUUUUAUUGAAUAGGGAAUUAAUUGGGGAUUAUGGAUGAAAAGUGGAUAAAGAAUAACAAUUGGACAACAUUAAAAAUCAAGUCAAUUUGUGGAAGCAGUUAAGCAAAUGUGUAUGAAAUUCAAUCCGAAGAAGCCGAAGCCAAUAAAUUGAAUUCUCCAUGCUAGUGCAAACAAAGAAUAAAUUUAAAGCUAAAGUGGCCUGCACGUGAGAAGCAAUUGCAUGGCAUUAAAAAAAGAAUGAAAAAUCCAAGUGGGCUUCACGUGCAUGGGCUCAAAGUCAGUUGUGCUUUGCUUGUUUUAAAACCUUUUGAUUUGAGCAAAGUAAACACUGAUGCAGCCAUUUGCUUUGAAAAGAACAUUGUAGGGCUGGGGGCAGUAAUCAAAAAUGUUUUGGGGCAUGUUACAGCAGCUGCUAUCAAGGUUGCUAAGUUUCGUGGAGAUGUUUCUUAUGCAGAAGCAGAAGCCAUGGAAUGGGGUAUGUUAGUGGCGCGAGAGGCCAACAUGAAAGCUGUCAUUAUGGAAUCAGAUUCUCAAGGUGUGGUCAAUUUAGUUAACAACAAGCAGGGCAGCAGAUCAGAGAUCUAUUGGGUUGUGUCAGAAAUUCAGAAACUAGCGGAAAGCUUCGAACGUGUUAGCUUUAAAUACACGACUAGAUCUUGAAAUGUUAUUGCCCACUCUUUAGCUAAACUAGCUUUAGAGAAGUGCGAGAAUGUUGUGUGGAAAGGGUCAUACCCUUCACAAGUGAUGUAUCUCUUUUCCACUUUAGUUUAAUGGAAAUCUCUUUUCAAAAAAAAAAAAAAAAAAAAAAAAAACCUUUUAAUUUGAGGAUUUUGGAGGGUGUUACAAUAUAAAAGUCGUGUUAACAUAAAUAUGUUAAUAAUAUUGAUUUUGAUGCUAACAAAUUUUAAAUGAUUUUUUGAUAAAAGUAUUGGAGCUAUUUCUUAAUAAACGAGAGCCUUAGUAAUCAUUCCAUUCAUGCUUCAUAAAAGAUGGACUUUAAAAUUAGAAAAAGAUUCUCUGCAAAAACUAGUUUAAAAUGCAAUUCUGGUUAUAAACGGUUCACCGUUUAUUUAAACGGUUAACCGAUAACAGCCAGAGAGCAACGUAUUUCCUAAACCUCUAACCGUUUAUGAAAAACGGAAAACACAAAAGAUGGGAAGGUUACUGGAACUUAACGGUGAACCGUUUAUUUUAAACGGUUAACCGAUUAGAACCAGAGAGCAACAUAUUACCUAAGCUCUAACCGUUUAUGCUUAACAGAAAACACCCAAGAUGGGAAGGCUACUGGAACCUAACGGUGAACCGUUUAUUUUAAACGGUUAACCGAUAACGUCCAAAAUUGAAGGUUGUCCUCCUCUGGCACUGAUUAACGAAAACUGAUAAGGCUAAAUUUGUUUUGCAGGUUACUGGAGACAAACGGCGAACCGUUUAUAUCAAACGGUUAACCAAUAAUUUCCAGAGAAGCCACUUCACGCAAGUCCUUAACCGUUUAGCGUAAACGGAUAACAAAUACUCAUUUUGCAGGUCUCUGGAAGUUAACGGCGAAAGGGCAACCCUAAACGGCAAACCGUUUAUUUGAAAUCUGGCCCAACGGUAACUUUGACCAGCCUAAACGGUUAACCGUUUAUGGUUAACGGCGAACCGUUUUCUGUCCGACAGUUUGUAACGGCUAGAUUUUCGGCUCCAAAUAUAAAUAAGCUCAUUCAAAUUCAAAGAUGAUUGAUCACAACACGACCAUUUGAGCUAAUAUUCGAGAAUACAAUCUUCAUAGAGCUUAGAACAUAUUCUUGCUUCAUCUAUUCACAUAUUAAGCAUCAUUGUGUAAUCUUAUAUAUUGUGAGAGGCAAAACAAUUUAUAAUCUUUUAUUUUGAGUGAUUGUAAGUGUUGGGAUACACUUGGGUUAAGAGAUUGGGGAUAAUCUCUUGUUGUAAAGGUUCAUUGACACCUUGGAAGUCAAGUGUAAGCAUUUGAAGCCUUGGAGGCUUGCUUAGUGGAAUCCUCAAGCCCGGAAAGCUUGGAGGCGUGGACGUAGGCGAGGUUGGCCGAACCACGUAAAAAUCUCGGUGUUUGAAUCCCUCUUCCCUUAUCUUUUUAUAUUGUGAUUCUCUUAAUUGUUAUUGCUUUGAAUUUGAUUUAUAAUUGCAUUAAGAUUUUCUUUAAUAAAUUGAAUAAUUUUUUAGAAUCCCAAUUCACCCCCCCUCUUGGGUUGCAUACUUGUAUUUCAAUUGGUAUCAGAGCCUCGUUCUCUUGUUAAGACUUAAUCGUCUAGAGUAAAAGAUCCAUGGCAACCCUAAAUGACUCAACCUUUAGAGAAGGGCAAUCCACAACUAGACCACCAUUUUUCGAUGGUAAUGACUAUGCUUAUUGGAAAACUAGAAUGAGAAUUUAUUUGCAAGCCUUAGAUUAUGAAAUUUGGGAAGUUGUUUGUGAUGGUCCAUUCAUGCCUACGUUCAAAGAUGAAGUAGGAGAUGAUAUUCCUAAACCAUCGAGUCAAUGGAGUGAGUUAGAAAAGAGAAAGAUGUCUCUAAACUCCAAGGCUAUGAAUGCUUUGUUUUGUGCCCUUGAUAAGAAAGAAUUCCAUAGAGUAUCUAGUUGUGAAAGUGCACAAGAGAUAUGGAACAAACUUGAAGUUGUCUAUGAAGGGACAAAUCAAGUGAAAGAGUCUAAAAUCAGUAGAUACACUCGUCAAUAUGAGUUGUUCCAAAUGGAACAAAAUAAAAAUGUGUAUUCUAUGUAUACUAGAUUCACGGACAUAGUGAACACCCUAGGUGCCUUAGGGAAAACCUUCUCAAAUAGUGAGAAAGUUAAGAAAAUCAUUAGGUCUCUUCCAAAAGAAUGGAGACCCAAAAGAACCGCUAUUGAAGAGGCCAAAGAUUUAAAUACUUUACCUCUUGAUGAUUUAAUUGGUUCUCUUAUUUCGUAUGAAGAGGAUUUAGCUGCAGAAAGAGGACAUGAGGAGAAGAAGAAAAGCAUUGCUCUCAAAGCUUCAAAAUAUGAGAGUGAUGAGGAGAGUGAACCGGAUGAUGAAGAACUAGCCAUGCUAGCAAGGAGGUUCAGAAAAUUCUUCAAGAAAACCGGAGAGCGAAGAAAUUUCAGAAACUUCAAGAACUAUAGGGAGAAGAAGGAGGCAAUCACUUGCUAUGAAUGCAAGAAGCCUGGACAUAUAAGAUCGGAGUGCCCACUUAUCAACAAACUCAAGAAGAAAGCAAUGGUUGCAACUUAGGAUGAUAGUGAGGAAGAAUCAAAUGAUGAAGAAGGAUCGCAAGAAGUAUCAAACCUAGCACUCAUGGCAAUAGGAGGAGAUGAUGAUCUCAAUGAGGUAAGUGAUCCUACCUAUGAUGAAUUAUAUGAUGCUUGUCAAGAUUUGCAUAAUGAGUUAAUGAAAAUUGGUAAAAAGAAUGUAUGUCUUAAAAAGAAAAUGGCAAAACUUAAAAAUGAAAAUGAAUCUCUAAAUGCAAGAAUUGUAUGCCUAGAAGUAGGAAACAAAACAUUGCAUGAUGAAAUUGCAUUAUCAAAUGAGAAACCUAGCAUCUUACAUGAGCAUUUGAAAUCACACAUAGAUGAGUUGAAAAAUGAGAACGAAUUGCUCAAGAAAAAGAAUAAUGAAUUAAAUGAAAUUGUUUUGAAAUUUACAAAUGGGCAAAAGAUGUUGGAUAAUAUGCUUAACUCACAAAAAUGUGUUUUUGAUAAAGGAGGACUUGGAUAUAAGCCAAAUUUGAAGCAAAAGUAUUAUAAGAAUUAUUUUGUUAAAGCUACCUCCCCAAAUGAUCAUAAGAUUGUAUGUCAUUAUUGUAAUCAAAAUGGUCACAUGAAAUUUAAAUGUCCCGUGAAAAGGAAUGCAUAUUAUGGUGUCAAGUGCAUUUGGGUUCCAAAAGGAACCGUUGCUAACUCUCAAGGACCCAAAAAGCUUUGGGUACCUAAAACUUGAGACUUUUUCUUGUAGGGCUUGAAGAAGAAGAAGAAUAAAUGGUACUUGGACAACGGUUGUUCAAGGCACAUGACCGGAAACUAUGCAUGGUUCUCAAACUUUUCCAAAAUUGAAAAUGGUGGAGACGUAUCCUUUGGAGACAACUCAAAAGGAAAAAUUCUUGGAAUUGGAAAUGUUGGUAAAGUUUCUUCAACUCUAAUUGAGAAUGUAUGUUUGGUUGAAAACUUGAAACACAACUUAAUUAGCAUUAGUCAAUUAUGUGACAAAGGUUAUAAAGUUAUCUUUGAUAAAUUUAGUUGUGUUAUUGAGAACUCAUGUGAUGGCAAAACCUUAUUUGUUGGAAAUAGAUGUGGUAAUGUUUAUAUCAUUGACAUAAAAUGUGCAUCUACUCUUGAUAAAUGUUUUUCGGCAUUGCAUGAUGAUUGUUGGUUGUGGCAUAGAAGGUUAGGAGAUGCAAGUAUGGAUUUGAUUUCAAAAAUUUCGAAAGAUGAUUUAGUUAAAGGUCUUCCGAAAAUUGGUUUUCAAAAGGAUAAGAUUUGUGAAGCUUGUCAAUUUGGAAAACAAAUUAAAACUUCUUUCAAGAAUAAAAACCAUAUUUCUACUUCAAAACCACUUGAACUUCUUCACAUAGAUCUUUUUGGGUCAUCUAGAUAUGCAAGUCUAAAUGGCAAAUAUUAUGCUUUUGUGAUAGUGGAUGAUUAUUCUAGAUAUACAUGGGUAUUAUUCUUAGCCAAUAAGGAUGAUGCUCUUGAUGCAUUUAAAGUGCUUUGUAAGAAAUUACAAAAUGAAAAAGGGCAUGGUAUUGUAUGCAUUAGGAGUGAUCAUGGAGGAGAAUUUGAAAAUCAUGCAUUUGAGAGUUUUUGCAAUAAUCUAGGCAUUGAGCAUCAAUUUUCUUCACCUAGAACUCCACAACAAAAUGGAGUUGUUGAGAGAAAGAAUAGGUCUAUUCAAGAAAUGGCUAGGACCAUGUUAAAUGAAAAUGCAUUACCAAAAUAUUUUUGGGCCGAAGCCGUCAACACCGCUUGUUAUGUUUUAAAUCGGGUGUUGAUUAGACCUAAUCUUAAUAAAACUCCAUAUGAGCUUUGGAAAGAUAGAAAACCCAACAUUGGCUAUUUUAAAGUUUUUGGAUGCAAAUGUUUUGUUCUGAACACAAAAGACAAUCUUGGUAAAUUUGAUUCAAAAUUCGAUGUUGGUAUUUUUCUUGGUUAUUCAAAUUCAAGCAAAGCUUAUAGAGUUUAUAACACAAGAACUUUAGUUGUGGAAGAAUCUAUGCAUGUCACAUUUGAUGAGUCUAACCCCUCCUCUACGAAGAAAGUCGUUGUUGAUGAUGAUGUAGGAGAAGAAGAACAAGAAGAAGAAGCAUCAAAUGACAAUCAAGAGGAUGCACUACAUGGAAUUCAAGAGGAACAUCAUGAAGAAUCAAUGUGGAGCAAAAUGAAGGUACUUCUCAUACACUCCCCAAGGAGUGGAGGUAUGUCUCUUCUCACCCUAAAGAUGUAAUUUUAGGAGAUCCCUCAUGAGGUAUAACAACUAGAUCAUCACUUAGAAAUACUUGUGAGCAUAAUGCAUUCAUCUCUCAAAUUGAACCAAAAUCCUUUGAGGAUGCAGAAAAUGAUGAAUUUUGGAUUAUGGCAAUGCAAGAGGAGUUAAAUCAAUUUGAAAGAAACAAUGUGUGGGAACUAGUUCCUAAACCUGAACAUCAAUCUAUAAUAGGUACUAAAUGGGUGUUUAGAAAUAAGAUGGAUGAAUCCGGUGUGGUUGUAAGAAACAAAGCUAGAUUAGUGGCUCAAGGUUACAACCAAGAGGAAGGAAUUGAUUUUGAUGAAACCUUUGCACCUGUAGCAAGGUUAGAAUCCAUUAGGAUGUUGUUAGCAUAUGCAUGUCAUAAGGAUUUUAUUUUAUAUCAAAUGGAUGUCAAGAGUGCUUUCUUGAAUGGAUAUAUUUUGGAGGAAGUUUAUGUGAAACAACCUCCUGGUUUUGAAAAUGAAAAAUUUCCAAAUCAUGUGUAUAAGUUGCUCAAAGCCUUGUAUGGAUUAAAACAAGCACCUAGAGCAUGGUAUGAUAGACUUAAAAAUUUCUUGCUAGAAAAUGACUUCUCUAUGGGUAAAGCGGAUACUACUCUUUUUGUUAAGCAUAAGAACCAAGACAUACUUAUUGUUCAAAUUUAUGUUGAUGAUAUCAUUUUUGGUUCUACUAAUGAGUUGUUGUGUAAAGAAUUUUCAUUGUGUAUGAGCAAAGAAUUUGAGAUGAGUAUGAUGGGAGAGUUGAAAUACUUCCUUGGACUUCAAAUCAAACAAAGCGGGGAAGGAAUUUUCAUAAAUCAAGCCAAGUACGUAAAGGAUCUACUCAAACGAUUCGGCAUUGAUGAUUCAAAGACCAAGAAUACACCAAUGAGCACAACAACCAAGCUGGACAAAGAUGAAAAAGGUAAAGAAGUGGAUAUCAAAAUGUAUCGAGGUAUGAUCGGAUCCCUACUCUAUUUGACUGCAAGUAGACCCGAUAUCAUGUUUAGUGUAUGUUUGUGUGCAAGAUUUCAGUCUUGUCCCAAGGAAUCUCAUUUGCUCGCUGUUAAAAGAAUUUUCCGUUAUUUGAGUGGAACCAUAGAUAUUGGCCUUUGGUAUCCUAGGGGAACUCAUAUAGAUUUAACAUGUUUUUCGGAUGCGGAUUUUGCUAGUUAUAAAGUGGAUAGGAAGAGCACUAGUGGAACUUGCUAUAUUCUAAGACACUCUCUUGUUUCAUGGUUUAGCAAGAAACAAAAUUCUGUUGCACUUUCAACUACUGAGGCUGAAUAUAUAGCUGCCGGAAGUUGUUGUGCACAAGCACUUUGGAUGAAACAAACACUUAGAGAUUAUGGCAUUAAUCUUGAACAAAUUCCUAUUAAGUGUGAUAAUACUAGUGCUAUAAACCUUUCAAAGAAUCCCAUUCAACAUUCUCGAACCAAGCAUAUAGAAAUAAGACAUCAUUUCUUGAGAGAUCAUGUUCAAAAGGGAGAUAUUGCAUUAGAGUUUAUUUCCACGGAAAAACAACUUGCCGAUAUUUUCACAAAACCGCUUUGCGAAGAACAAUUUUCAAAAAUUCGGCAUGAACUUGGGAUGAUGAAAUUUUUGCAUUAACAUCUCUAUUCAUGCUAUUGAGUGUACUGAAUUGAUUGAUUACUAUUUAUGAAAUGCUUGAGCUUGGUAGACAAAUGAUGAAUUUGCAUUAAUAACUCUUGAUUAUAUGAAUUGAUUGGUUGAAAACAUGUCCAUGAAUCAUGCAUUAAACUGGCUCAUAAAAUAUUUUCAGAUCAAUUAAAUGAUCUUGGAAUAUAUUAUUUGCUGGCCAAAAAUUAAAUCAAAUGUGCGAAAUUACAGAUUGAAUAAACGGUUAGCCGUUUCCUAUAAACGGAUCACCGUUUAAUUCCAGAAACGAGAUUAUGUGUCUGCCCGUUUACCCUUUCACCGUUUUCCACAAUCGGUGAACCGUUUUUCAACAGAGAGUCCUCUAACAGUUACUCCUUAGUCGUUAAGCGCUUAGGCUUUCACCGUUUCCCUUUCUUCAGCCUCUGGACGUUACCCUUUCACCGUUUCAAUAAACGGUUAACCGUUUUCGCGAAGUAUAUAAACUGUUUAAAGGUUUUCUUCUCCUUCUCCAGUUACCCUCUCACCGUUUCCUCCAUUGUUGCGCAGCCGAAGGUCUCUUUGUCCUCAAAUCCUCAUUUUUCUUGAUUUCCGUGCCAAAUCAAAUCCUCAAAAUCAUUUCUUAUCACCUUUAGAACAUUUCUACCGAUUCAAAACUUCAAAUCGAACCCAAAAUUCAAAAAUCCCAAAUCUAAACCCUAACUGUCGCGAGUCGGGUUUCUCUGUCCUUAAUCUGAUUUCCACCUUUCUUCAACCAAAUUAAACAUCCUACUCACAUCUUCUACUCCUCAUUACGUGUUUCCAUGGCUGAACCUCCUCGGAGAAAUCUCAGACGUAAAUCUGUGCCUCCAAGGAAUCCCAUACCACCUCGGGACGUCUCGGAAUUUGCAAGGAUUCACUUCCCCACUCCUUCCUUGGCCAAGCGAUUCGAAGAACGCUUCAAUGGUCGAAAGGUACUUGACUCCUUCUUUGUUGACAUUGAUGAUUUCCAUAAUUUGGUUGUAUGUGGUAGAAGCAUUUGGGAUAUGCUUCGGCCUUGGGAGUCUGGCAUUGAUUUUGAUGACCGAGUUUAUCCAAACUUAGUGCGAGUCUUUUAUUCGAACAUGGAAAUCUCCAAUACUCGUCCAAAUAGGAUAGUCACUCAAGUCGGCCGUGUACCCAUAGAAUUUGAUGAUGCGGACUUAGCUGACUUUCUAGGUAUCUCUUGUGAGGGGAUUGACAUCUACACUUCUAGGAAAACCCUCUCCUUUGAUACUUUUUCUCAUACUCACGGCGUCCGUAAUAUAUGUCGUCGUCGAGACUUAUCGGAUGAUAUCUGUCAGCUUCCAUUUCGGUCUCAACUUUUACCGCUCCAAGUUCGUAUUCUUCACUCUAUUCUACAGCACAUAGUGACUCAUAGGAAGGGUCACUCGGAUGAGGUUACGAGGUUAGACGUCGCCUUAUUGGAUAGCCUUAUUACAGACCGUCCCAUUAACCUCGGGUAUAUUAUUGUGCGACAUAUGCUGAGUACUCCAGUGGUCAACCACCGCUUGUUUCCCUACGGCAGUAUCAUCACUAAAAUACUGCGACGCUUUGAGGUGCCACUUCUUGAUACUGGACAUAUGGAGACUCGACGGAUUGGUUCCGAGGCAGUAACCAGUAUCGGAUUCUCUAGAAAGAAUGGAGUGUGGAUAAAGACAAGCAACUCCAAAAACCGGGAUACCUUGAUUGCUCCAGAGGACGAUCGGAUGCUCAAUGAUGUCUAUCGUCCCGACCAGCUUCCUGACUUUAGACUAGGCGCUCAUCCUCAUCCUCCGCGUCGCCGUUUUGUUCCUCAGCCUCCAGCUGACUCAGACUCUGAGGAGCGUGCGAUGGAUGCUGAUAUUCCCUCCUCUUCCGAGCCGCCUACUGCUCCUGAGCCUUCUGCUGUUCCCGAGCAGCCAUCUGCCUCUAUGCCGCCUCCAGCUCCAGUUCAGCCCCCUGCUUCAGACGCAGUGCAGCAGCUGAUCUCUGAUGUUCAGCGGAUUUCGGAGCGCCAGCAGCUAAUUCUUGAUCGGUUGGACACUCUUUCCCGUGACCACCAGCAGCUGCGUUCUGACUUUCAGAUAUUCCAGCGGCAGAGCCUUGAUUAGCAGAUGGAGCUUAUCGCUGGACAGCGCACUAUUCUCGGCUAUUUCGGCUAUGAUCCAAGGAGCACAUCUUCUCCGCCUCCGUAGUUUCUGAGCUUUGUCUUCGCAUAUACAUUUUACAUUCUGGUUGCUAGCAUUUUUAUUAUUAUUUUGAUUUUGAUGCAUAUGUGUGUGAUGUUCUUGAUGAUUAGCUUAUUGAUGCUUUGUGAUUGCCUAAUUGGUUGGAUAUUGUAGAAAUGGUUUAUUUGUGGAUAUUGGAGUGUUGGUAUAUUUGUGGAUAUUGAAGUGUUAUUUUAUCUUGUUCAUGGAGUUGUUGGCUUGUUGAACGCAGAAGUUAAUGUUGAUCUAAUUUUGGAAGUGUUUUAUCUCAUUUUGUAUUUAUGGUUUUACUCAUUUUUAAGGGGAAACUCUGCCAAAAUUUUUUUUUUUUUGCUUGCCAAAACCGGGCACUUUCUUUCAUGAAUUUGCGUAUUUCUUAUUUCCUCUUUCCUUUUGAUGAUGAAGGGGGAGAUAAUUAAAGUUUUUAAGAUGGUUUUUAAGUUUUUAAGAUUUUUUUUUAAAUUUUAAAUGGGGAGAUAUUUGUUUUUAAGAUGGAUUUAAAAUGGGGCAAUUUAUUCACAUUUCUCAAUUUGGCCAUACAUUUAGGGGGAGCACAUAUUAAGGGGGAGCUAAACAUUGAUUAGAAUUUGUCAUCAUCAAAAAGGGGGAGAUUGUUAACAUAAAUAUGUUAAUAAUAUUGAUUUUGAUGCUAACAAAUUUUAAAUGAUUUUUUGAUAAAAGUAUUGGAGCUAUUUCUUAAUAAACGAGAGCCUUAGUAAUCAUUCCAUUCAUGCUUCAUAAAAGAUGGACUUUAAAAUUAGAAAAAGAUUCUCUGCAAAAACUAGUUUAAAAUGCAAUUCUGGUUAUAAACGGUUCACCGUUUAUUUAAACGGUUAACCGAUAACAGCCAGAGAGCAACGUAUUUCCUAAACCUCUAACCGUUUAUGAAAAACGGAAAACACAAAAGAUGGGAAGGUUACUGGAACUUAACGGUGAACCGUUUAUUUUAAACGGUUAACCGAUUAGAACCAGAGAGCAACAUAUUACCUAAGCUCUAACCGUUUAUGCUUAACAGAAAACACCCAAGAUGGGAAGGCUACUGGAACCUAACGGUGAACCGUUUAUUUUAAACGGUUAACCGAUAACGUCCAAAAUUGAAGGUUGUCCUCCUCUGGCACUGAUUAACGAAAACUGAUAAGGCUAAAUUUGUUUUGCAGGUUACUGGAGACAAACGGCGAACCGUUUAUAUCAAACGGUUAACCAAUAAUUUCCAGAGAAGCCACUUCACGCAAGUCCUUAACCGUUUAGCGUAAACGGAUAACAAAUACUCAUUUUGCAGGUCUCUGGAAGUUAACGGCGAAAGGGCAACCCUAAACGGCAAACCGUUUAUUUGAAAUCUGGCCCAACGGUAACUUUGACCAGCCUAAACGGUUAACCGUUUAUGGUUAACGGCGAACCGUUUUCUGUCCGACAGUUUGUAACGGCUAGAUUUUCGGCUCCAAAUAUAAAUAAGCUCAUUCAAAUUCAAAGAUGAUUGAUCACAACACGACCAUUUGAGCUAAUAUUCGAGAAUACAAUCUUCAUAGAGCUUAGAACAUAUUCUUGCUUCAUCUAUUCACAUAUUAAGCAUCAUUGUGUAAUCUUAUAUAUUGUGAGAGGCAAAACAAUUUAUAAUCUUUUAUUUUGAGUGAUUGUAAGUGUUGGGAUACACUUGGGUUAAGAGAUUGGGGAUAAUCUCUUGUUGUAAAGGUUCAUUGACAUCUUGGAAGUCAAGUGUAAGCAUUUGAAGCCUUGGAGGCUUGCUUAGUGGAAUCCUCAGGCCUGGAAAGCUUGGAGGCGUGGACGUAGGCGAGGUUGGCCGAACCACGUAAAAAUCUCGGUGUUUGAAUCCCUCUUCCCUUAUCUUUUUAUAUUGUGAUUCUCUUAAUUGUUAUUGCUUUGAAUUUGAUUUAUAAUUGCAUUAAGAUUUUCUUUAAUAAAUUGAAUAAUUUUUUAGAAUCCCAAUUCACCCCCCCUCUUGGGUUGCAUACUUGUAUUUCAAGUCGAACUUUGGCUUUUGCAAGAAGGAGGAGCCGCCAGAGGAGGGAAACGCGAGACAAAGAGAAGAAAAUCUGAAGUGGUUCGACUUCCAUGGCUGGUUUUAUCUCUUUUGUUACUCUUAAUUCAAGUAUGUCUAGCUAAUUUUCUUAUACUGAGGUUAAGGAUGAAACUCUAUUCAAUGAAAUAAUUAUCUUUUUAUUUAUUUAAUUCCCUAUAUAUGUUCUUUAAUGAUUAUGAUUUUUAUUUUACAUAAUUAAUUGGAUGUUAUUAAAAUCUUUUCAUCAAUUUUGUCAUGCAUUAUUGAUUGUUGGGAUUAAUAUUCGAUUAAAUCUAUGCUUGGAUUUAUAAAGUUUAUACAUGAUUAUCUUUGAUUAUAUGUCUUUCAUUAAAUUGUUUACAUGGAGUGCUUAGGAAACUUUGACUAUUUGUUAUUCAAUAUGUUCACAUGGGAUACUUAGAUGUCAUACUAUUAAGCGGAAAAAGAACCUAUAUUAGAUUUAAUUAUUUGGGCUUAAUUGUUAUAUCCAUGAGAUGACAUAUAUUGAUUUCGAGUUAUCACUCUAAAAUUGGGGAUUAAUGAAUAUUUAGAUAAUUACUAGUUGAAUAGUGGUGGAUUCUGAAACCUUGGUAAUUUCUAUCCUAUUGAAUUCUCCUUUUCUUUAAUUGUUUUCUUAGUUUAAUUAGUUUAAUUUCUCUUAAAACUCAAUUUGCUCAACUAGGCUAGAAUUAAUAUUAAUUUUAUAUUUAAAUUAGACUUUUCAAUUUAUAACAAUCCAUGUGGGAUCGACCUCGUUAUCACUAUUUUAUUUCUAGAUUCGUGCGCUUGCGAGUUUAUUAAAAUUUUCACAACAUUAGUUUAAUCUUUUCUACUGCAUGGCACCUCUUUACUCAAAUAUCAAAUGAGCUUGCUCUUCACGUGACGCUAAAUUUACCAAACUUUAUUUUUUUCCUUAAUUGGCUCGUGUAGGACAGUCGAGGUGUCAUUUUUUUUUUUUUCACCGUUCAACUUCUUAUUUAUUAUUCUUAUACCGCAUGUCAGCUUUCAAUUAGUCCAAAAAUAUCCUUCAAAUUUUACCUCCAAACAAAUCUAAUAACCUCUUGAAAACAAAAAAUUAAAAAUUUAUUCAAUCAUUCAAUGUUAAGGAAAUUGGCCAAGUAAUGGAAUGCUAACAAACCGAAUUAAAUUUCCACAUUUAUUUUUUUUUCUCAUGCAUGCUCUACUAAAAAUAUUUGAUGUCGUGCUAAUGCUCACUGCAAAGUAUAUAUUAGAUGCUCGCGCAUAUACCGUAGGCUAUAGCUAUACAAAAACUUAUACUUGCGUUCUCGAAUGCACACACUUGCACGCAAAAUUCUAUUAUUGAGAGUCGCUGCUUUCUAUAACACGGCCUUUUUCUAGCCUUUCAUUAGACGUGGUUUCAAUUUAUUGAACCAUUAGAGGGACACAUCAGUAGUCACAAAAAUGCCCCUCUGUAGAACCUGAAGGGAACUUCAGUAGCUCAAACACCUUCAGCCUCUGCCCAAGAUUCAAGAUCAGAUUCCUAGAUGCUUGACUAUAGAUGACUUGAAAAAUGUUUAACCAAGAACUUCAAGUGAACAGAACAAUCAAUGGUUUAAGAAUCAAAGAAUCGAAAAAAAACUAAAGAAUAAAGAACAGAGGAGAUUUAACGUGGUUCAGCUAAAACACUUAGCUUACAUCCACGGAGGAACAAGACUUCAGGCUUUUAUUGAAUGAACUCAAGAUUACAGAGAAUUACAGAUUGUAUCUCAUGGAAAUUACUACCUAUUAAACCCAGGAGUAACCCCCUUUUUAUACUCAUAAAUUGUAGCCAGCUAUCUGCACCAGAAUCAGCUCCUUUUCAGUUGCUGAUAACUUCCUGGAAACUAAUCCAGAUGCUCACGUGCAAGCCAUGCUUCAUUAACGACUUUAACGGCUUCUUUCAUUCGAAUCCAUUCACGUGAGUCUCAGGUGUUUCACUUAAGUCAAACGACAUUCCAAGACAUCGUUUCACUUAGCUUUGGUUUACACACCGAAACGCACUCUGUCAAGUCGUUUUGAAUGCCACUGAAUUGCUUUCAAUGGUUACUUUACACCCUCUAAAUGGCAAUUCUUUUAAUCAUUUUGCUGCCGCUCUUCCUUCCAGUCCCAAGUACACAGCCCAAACUUCAAUUUUCUCUGGGAAUAAUGAAUCAUGGCUCAGUCUCAAUAUGUCUUCCAUAUUCCAUGGAACGAGCCAAAGGAGGAGUACUUCUAUAGUUAGUAGCAACUAGCAAUCAUAUUGAUUCUUGAAGGAAUUUUCUGCAUCAGAUAAAGAAAGAGCAGCAGAGAACAAAGCUGUUAAUCAAUCAACACAUGUAAAGCAGUAUUAGUAUUUCUGCCUUAUUGUAGUGCCUAAGUGGGUAUUAGGAUUUCUCCACAAGAACGUUUACUAAGAUAUUCAGCCAAGUGUGAAGUUCAUCAAUAAUCAAUCUUUUCUGGAAAUAAACGAAACAUAUUGAGUGCCAGACUUGUCCAGCCUCUGAAACAGGAUUUCAGAGCAAGCAACAGAACAAAGACAGAAAAUACAUUCAACUGAACCCAACACCAGAAAGCAUCACAAAUAUUAUUUAUUUUUUGUACACAAUUAACGAACCGCCGUUGAAGCACAAAUCAAUGAACUCUCAACUGAAAAUCCGAAACGAAAUUUCUUAUUUAUGAAUAGACAGCGGAAACAAAGAAACCAAAAAAAAUGUCCACCGCCGUAGGAUCAGGAUUUAUUUGUGUAGACAGUAGAAGUGAAGACGGAAAGGAUUCUGGUAGAAAUUGAAGUUCGGGCUGCAGUUAUGAUGUUUUCUUCUCUGAUUUCACCUACACAAGUCAUUGAAGAAAUUGUGAAAAAUAAGAAUUUUAAAUUACAUUUUUUUCCUUAACUAUUAAAACAAAUGAACGCCGAUGUCUGCUAGGCUCAUGGUUGAAUGUGGUCUCCAUUGCUGCUAAAGAGGGCUUGAUGAUUGGGGUGAGUAUCGGAAACACUUUGUAUAACCAUUUUUGUAUUGAAGACAAGGGGAAAAAAAGUAUAUGAAAUUGGAUAAAUAAUUAAAAUUUGAAGAAAUUGGGUAAAACGAGAAACAUACAUCAAAUUCAAUAGGGGCUAAUCAAAUUCCGUAAGGAUAUAGUUGAAUGCCGCACUGUUCCUUGUCCUCAAAUUCCCGUAGCUUUUGUCUCAGCUCUGGCUGAGGCCACCAGCAAUCGAACUUGUUUAAGCUCUUUAUGCACCAGAGCUGUUCAGGCAUCUUUUUCAAGUAAGCACAAGGGUUGAUAAUCAAGCAUUCUAGUUUUGGCAUGGCUCCAAUCCCCAUAGUCCACUCCCCUAGCCAUAGCAUUGAUUUCAGGUGCAAUACCUUGAGAUUUGGAAAACCAUAAGAGCCACAAGUCAGCUUUCUACCUUGUGAAGAAAGCUCAUUGUGCUGAACUGAGAAAAGAGAGGAAGUCAGAAGCUAAGGUUCAUCAGCAAUGCCACGUCAACAAUGCUGAGUCAGCUGAUUCUGUUAAGCAACAAUGAGAGCUCACGUGUGUUGCAGUUAGUUAGUAUUAGCUAACCUCUUACUGAUUAGUUAGUUAAAUUUCAGAGUAAUAUAGAUUAGUUGAUAUAGCUUUUACUAACAAAAUAUGUAACUAUAUAAAGUCUGGAGUUUUACUCAUUUGUUAUUAAUAAUAAACAAUCCAGUAUAUUCAUCAUAUUUCUCUCUGUUUUCUUAGUAACCAAACAACAUUUUCGAUUCAAUUUUUCAUGGUAUCAGAGCUAGAAAUAUGGCAAGCUCAAGCAAUUUAAACACAAAUCCAAACGCAACAAACAUGAAUCAAUCAAUACAAACUACCUUUUCAUUUAUUACGCCAAUCAAAUUGGAUAGAUCCAAUUAUAUGCUCUGGCGAAAUCAAGUAUUAGCUUCCAUAAGAGGAAACAGACUCGAAGGCUAUAUCAAUGGAGAAAAAGCAGCACCUACUCAGUUUCUUACUUCUGGAAGCUAUGCUGAAACAAUGGGAAGAGUUUCACAACAAGUUGAAAAUCCAGAAUACACGAUCUGGAGAUCACAGGAUCAAACAUUACUAAGCUGGCUAUUAAGCUCAAUUACUGAAGGUAUUCUCAGUCAUGUUCAUUCUUGUAAUACUGCAUAUGAUGUGUGGAAAACUUUGGAGAAAAAGUUUGGUGCAAAAUCAGAAGCUAGAGUUCUUCAACUCAAAUAUGAGAUGAGUGUUUUGAGAAAAGAUUCGCUAAAUAUAGAGGAUUAUUGUUUGAAAAUGAAACAAAUAGCUGACAAAUUAACCUGUGCUGGUAGUCCAGUUUCUGAUAAAGAUCUGUUACAACAGAUUCUUAAUGGUCUUGGACCAGGCUAUCUAGAUUUAGCAACUUUCAUUACUGCAAGUAAGCUGGAUUUUGAUGAUUCAUAUGCAUUGCUAUUGACACAUGAAACAAGAUUAGAACAGAGUCUAAAUGAAAAACAGAUGCUCAAUGCAAAUCUUGCUAAUGUUUCUCAUAAUAACAAUAGCUAUGGUAUGAUGAAUGCUUAUUAUGCUCAAACAAGAGGUAAUGCUCGAAGAGGUGGAUAUAAUGGAGGAUUUCAUGGUGGAAAUCAAUUUGGAAGGAAUAAUUUUCAUACUGGAAAGGGAAUGUUUAUCAAUUCUCAUCCAAGAGGAUUUCCUUCUGGAUCUGGAAAUUUUGGUAAUAAUCUUGGUAGAGGUCAAAUGAUUGGAAACAACAAUAAGCAGACACAAUUCAUGAGAGGACAAUAUAGUAUUAACUCUGGUUUGUCAAAUCCUGAUGGUAGUGAUGAACAAUCUGUUGUUUGUCAAAUCUGCUUUAAAACUAGACACACAGCAGCUGAAUGUUGGCAUAGGUUUGAAGAAAACUAUAUGCCUCAACACAUGAAAAGAGGAAGAAAUCAGAGAUCAGCCUAUAUGACAUACCUUACUGCACCUUCUGAAGACUCAUGGCCUGCUACAGCUGCUUAUUCAGGGAUACCUCACAUGUAUAAUCCACCAUGUUCUUCAUACAUAUCUGAUUCAAUGAGCUUGCCUGUGGCUGGAGCUGGAGCUGCUUAUGCUGCUAACUUUGAAGGACCAGCAGAUGAAGGAUGGUAUCUUGACAGUGGAGCUACACACCAUCUGACAAAUGAUAUGGCAAAUAUGCAUGUCAGCAGUGAGUUCAGAGGUAAUGACAAGCUUAUCAUUGCUGAUGGUAAAGGUCUGUCAAUCACACAUGUUGGUAAUGCCAAUUUUAAAGUUCAAAGCUCUAAAACACAAUCUGCUAGUACAUGCAUUGCACUUAAAGAUAUACUGCUUGUUCCAUCUAUUACAAAGAACCUAAUAAGUGUUUCUAAACUCACCACUGAUAAUGACUUAUCUGUUGAAUUUCUUGGUUCUGUUUGCUUUGUGAAGGAUAUACUGAAAGGGAAAAUUCUGCUACUGGGUAUUGCUGAGAAAGGUUUAUACAAAUUGCAGCUGAGUUCAUCACCACAACCUACAUAUACAUCUUUUCUAUCCCAGAGUUCAAUAAAUAAGCCUGUAUCUAUGCUAUCUCAGUGUCAUUUCAGCACUUCAGUCAAUAGUCAUUGUUCUGGAAAAUAUUCUCAGUCCAAUAAGAACACUUGUAGCACUGAUUCAUUCAAUAAAAUGUCUUUGUUUCACAAAAGAUUUGGUCAUCCUAAUACUCAAAGUCUAAUUCAUUUACUUAAGCUUGUGCAUCCUAAUUUGUGCUCUACAAAUAUUGUUAAUCAAGCAACAAAGCAUUUCUGUGAAGCAUGUCAGCUGGGAAAAUUUCACAGACUCCACUUUCCAAUUACAGAUAUAAAAUCCAAAUCAGCACUAGAACUUGUUCAUAUUGAUUUAUGGGGUCCCUCACCAGUAUGUUCUAGAGAUGGUUUUAGAUAUUACAUUAGCUUUGUGGAUGAUUAUACAAGAUACACCUGGAUUUAUCCUUUGAAACUGAAAUCAGAAGCUCUAGAAGUGUUCAAACUGUUUAAACUUCAAGUUGAAAAUCAAUUUCAAACAACUAUCAAAAUUCUCCAAUCUGACUGGGGGGGAGAAUACAGGCCAUUCACUGCCUUCCUAAAUGAAUGUGGCAUUCUCUUUAGACAUUCUUGCCCUUACACUCACCAUCAAAAUGGCCUUGUUGAGAGGAAACACAGACAGAUUGUAGAAUUAGGAUUGACACUUCUAGCUCAAGCCAAACUCCCUUUUCAAUUCUGGUGGGAUGCUUUUCAUGCCUCAGUUUAUCACAUUAAUAGACUCCCUACUUCUGCACUUAAGAUGACCACUCCAUAUGAAAAACUUUACAAACACAAAGCUGAUUAUACCAUGCUGAAAUGCUUUGGAUGUGCUUGUUAUCCAUAUCUGAGAGAUUACAAUAAGCAUAAGUUUGACUAUCACACAACCAAGUGCAUCUUUCUUGGUUACAGCCCAUUUCAUAAAGGUUAUAAGUGUUUUCAUCCCUCUGGUCAUAUAUAUAUAGCUAGGCAUGUUGUUUUUGAUGAAUACUCAUAUCCAUUUGCUUCAGAUCCUAGCUUUCAUCCUUCAGAUAAAUCUAAGUCUGAUACAUAUUGCACAAUUACUCCUAUUCAAGUUUUUCAGUUGUCAACAUUACCUGUCAUAUCAGAUCUUUCAGUCACCAGCAAUGAAUCUUUUUCUCAAGCAUACUCCAGUGGCAACAUUUUCCCUCCAGCAGUAGUCUCAACACAGGUAACAGAUCAGCAACCCUCAAACACAGAUAGAAAUAAUUCAUCUGCACCUACAGUGUUGCCUUCUGUACCUGAUACAAUAUUAGAUCAGCCCUCAGAUGAAAUUUCCCAAAACCAACACAAUAAUAAUACCUCUCAUCUCAAUCAGACAGUGAUAACCCCACCACCAUUAAACCAACAUCCUAUGAUCACUAGAGGGAAAGCAGGUAUCUUUAAACCAAAGGUAUAUACUGCAGUAUUGUUGCAUAAAGAACCAGAUACUGCUCAGGAGGCUAUAAAUGAUGAGAGAUGGUUUCAAGCAAUGAAGACUGAAUAUGAUGCACUGAUGUCAAAUGGUACCUGGACACUUGUGCCAAGAACAGAACAUCACAAACUUGUUGGUAACAAAUGGGUGUUUCGAGUAAAAUCAAACACUGAUGGAAGUGUUGCAAAAUAUAAGGCAAGGUUGGUUGCUAAAGGAUUUCAGCAGAUAGAAGGAGUUAACUACUUUGAGACUUUCAGUCCAGUGGUGAAAGCAGCAACAGUUAGAGUGGUCCUAAGCUUAGCAGUAAUGAAUCAAUGGCAAAUAAGACAGGUUGAUGUAAAUAAUGCAUUCCUAAAUGGAGAUCUAAUUGAGGAGGUAUAUAUGAGUCAACCAGAAGGGUUUAUUGAUUCCAAAAGGCCUGAUUUUGUGUGCAAACUUCACAAGGCACUCUAUGGUUUGAAACAAGCUCCACGAGCAUGGUUUGACAAGCUGAGAAACAGUCUUAUGCAAUGGGGAUUUGAGAACUCAAAGUCUGAUUCAUCUUUGUUCUUGAAGAAGAAUAAAAGAUCAAUUAUUUUAAUCCUGAUAUAUGUAGAUGAUAUAUUGAUUACAGGAUCAAAUGGUGAUGAGCUGGAAGAUUUUAUCAAGCUAUUUAGUUCUGCAUUUGCAUUAAAGGAUCUGGGAAAGCUAUCUUACUUCCUUGGAAUAGAAGUCUUGUAUGAUACUGAUAGUGUAUAUCUAUCACAAAGGAAGUAUAUUAGAGAUCUGCUGGCUAAAGUUGAUAUGCUCGAGUGUAAAGGAAUAGACACACCAAUGAGCAGCAGCAAAGAUUACAGAUUGCAGAAGAGUGUUGAAGGAGAAAUGGGUUACUACAUAGAAGAUCCAUCUCAUUACAGAAGCAUAGUAGGAGGCCUCCAGUAUUUAGUUUUGACAAGACCUGAGAUUGCCUACUCUGUUCAUAAGCUAAGUCAGUAUGUAGCUUCACCAACACUUCAACAUCUUAUGGCUUGUAAACGUGUGCUUAGAUAUCUUAAGGAAACACAAGACUAUGGGCUGAAAUUUGUUAAAGAAGGUGAGUUGAAGGUUACAGCAUUUACAGAUGCAGAUUGGGGAAGUGAUCUUGAUGACAGAAGAUCCACUGGUGCCUAUUGUGUGUAUCUAGGGAACAAUUUAAUCUCAUGGUCCUCAAAGAAGCAAUCUGUAGUUACAAAAUCUUCUGCAGAGAGUGAAUACAGAGCACUUGCAGCAGCUGUUUCAGAGAUAACAUGGUUAAAAUCCUUAUUUCUUGAGAUUGGUUUAUGUUGUGUGGAGAAACCAGUUAUAUGGUGUGACAAUGUGAGUGCCAAAGAACUUGCUUAUAAUCCAGUGUUUCACUCAAGAACAAAACACAUAGAAAUUGAUCUGCAUUUUAUCCGAGAUAAGGUUCUAGCUGGAGAUCUUAAGAUUCUCUAUGUUCCCAGUGCAGAGCAGAUAGCAGACAUAAUGACUAAGCCUUUAAACUCUACUCAGUUCACCUAUCUGAGAGACAAACUUAAUGUGCAUUUAUGCCCCUUGAGUUUGAGAGGGGCUGUGAAGAAAGCUCAUUGUGCUGAACUGAGAAAAGAGAGGAAGUUAGAAGCUAAGGUUCAUCAGCAAUGCCACGUCAACAAUGCUGAGUCAGCUGAUUCUGUUAAGCAACAAUGAGAGCUCACGUGUGUUGCAGUUAGUUAGUAUUAGCUAACCUCUUACUGAUUAGUUAGUUAAAUUUCAGAGUAAUAUAGAUUAGUUGAUAUAGCUUUUACUAACAAAAUAUGUAACUAUAUAAAGUCUGGAGUUUUACUCAUUUGUUAUUAAUAAUAAACAAUCCAGUAUAUUCAUCAUAUUUCUCUCUGUUUUCUUAGUAACCAAACAGCAUUUUCGAUUCAAUUUUUCAUACCUGAAUACGAGUUUUGCUUCAGUUUGAGCACUUGAAGAAGCGGCAGCUUUUCUAGUGUUGGCAUGGGAUCAUCCAUUAGGUCAGUAUUAGAAAAACUCAAGUGGGUUAGACUAUGAGGAAAUAGGUAUUCAGCAAGGACGAUUUUGGAGAGCCGUGGCAUCUUGCUUUCAUUCACCAGCUUCAACGACUCGAGACAGCUCAAUCUGCAGAGACUUUUGGAAAACAAAGAUUGAUUAUAACUUAAAUCUCCCCGUAUUCGGAGAUUUCGAAGAUUAGGUAGUCUGCCCAAUAUAUCUUCAGUACAGCAGCAAGGAUGCAAGGCAGAAAUGAAAUUGAGAUUUUCCAGAGAGCCGCAAUAUUUUCCUGGAUGCGCAGGAAGUGUGAUUGACCCAAAAUUUAGAUGCCUGAGUUUUUUCAUCUUCCAAAAUUCAUCUGCUGUAUGAUCUAUAUAGCUAAUGGGCAUGUCUAGGGUGUAGAGGUUCAGAAGAUUGCUUAACAAUGAGGAAGGCAGGCUUUUGAGGGAAGGGAUAUUCAACUUCAAAUAUCUCAAAAGAAAUAAAUUUUCAAUUCCGGAUGGAUACUGGAUGAGAACAAGAGAUUCCAAGUCCAAUACUCUGAGAAGUUUGAACAUUCCACAAAUGUUCUCCCAAUCCAUGGGGUCAAAGUGGCGGGUUUCUGGAGAGCAGAACAACAAAGACUGCAGUUGCGAGUCAUAAUCAUCUAAGCAAGCAAAAUCACCCUCUCUUUCAACAGCGUUUAACCGUUUGGCAUUUUUUUGUGAUUUACCUUCUGGAUCCAUGAAAGGGGAAAAGAUAAAUUCCACCCUAUAAGGAACUGUCAUCAACACAGGAUGGCAACGACCUGGAAUAGAGCAUGUGUUGAUAGUGCCUGCAGCUUUUCUCUUCUUUGCUUCAACAAAGCCUCCCUUGAUUAGUUGUUCUAAGUAAUUCUCAGCAGUUGCCUCACUAUUGUCUGGGAUGAAACCUUCAGCUAUCCACAACUGAUAUAACUGCCUGGUGGAUAUCUCUAGGUGUGCGGGAAACACAGAUAAGUAGAGAAAACAAAGUUUCAAGCAAAAAAGUAACCUGCAAUAUUUGAAGUACCGAAGGACAAAGGGUGUCUCGAAUACUUCCUCUAUAUUUUCUUCAAAUGAGAUGCUUCCAUGAUAUAAGAUGAGGAAAGGCCAUCCUUUAUAUGUAGCUCUCAAUGGUCCUCCAGUUGGCACUGAAUCAAGCCGAAUGUUCUCUCCGUCUUCGAGCUGAAAUGAGGUGACCAUCUUAAUUUGAGUGAGUGUUAUUAAUACUCUACUUCUAUUCUGAUUAUCCGGGAGUAUUUCUCGAAUAAUAUCCCUUACUUCAAUGUUCCACACAUCAUCAAUCACAAUCAAAUACCGCUUGGUCAUUAGAUAUUCAUGAAGAAUAAUUUUUUUCAUUUCAUAAUUUUUAUCCUUUAUUUCACUCAACCUAGAUCAAGGCAUCAGAAACUUAAUAAUGAUAUCUAAUAUUUGGUCCGCUUCAUACGGACAAGGCUCCUGAAUCCCAGUGUGACAAUCAAAAUAAUGCUUCACAUAACUGCUGUUGUAAGCCUCUCCGGCAAAAGCCGUCUUGUCCAACCCAAUGCUAUCAAGUAUGGCCACCACUGAAAGCUGAGGUGGUCCCUCGAUCAAUAGAUCUAACAACUCCUCCAUUCUAUCAUCUAGACCCACCAUGUCCCUACUUUUAGAAGAUGAAGAUAUACCGGCUUCAGCUUCCAGAUUUUUGAAGGCAUGAAAGAUUUCGGAAUCGAUGUGCGGAACUUGUUGAGUCCGUUGUUUUAUAUCAAUGAUUCUGCUUUGGAGUCCUAGCAGAGCAUCACAGAUGUCCUUGCUGCAGCUGCUUUGACUCUUCUGUUGAGUGAUGCUGUUGAUGAAUGUGUCAAUCACCUUCUCAGAUUCACAGGUAAAGCAAAUGAUUUCGUCCAUGACGGUCGCCAGAUCUGGGUUGUCAAUUUCAACUUCUCCUAUUUGUUGCAUCAGAAGCCAGGACGUUUCAUAUUCAAAGUCCCUCAGCCAAGAAGUAACGAUUUCAACCUCGGCAAGAAGGUUCUGAAUAGGUAGUUUUGCAGCAUCAGGCAACGUGACUUCUUCAUCAGCUAACACCCUUCUCAGCCUCUCUGAAAAUAGUCUGAAGUUGAUGUCCAUAUCUUCUCCUCUCUCAGUACCACCCUGUAAUCAGUCCUGUAGCAUGCAAAGAAAUAGUUAAAAACAGAGAGUUGGAAAGAAACUAUGCUUUAAAGCUCCCCUACCUCCGUUCUCUUAGCUAGUACUCCAUUCAAGAAAUUGAAUCGAGAUUGUUGACUCUCAAAUUAGAACAGAUCAAGGCAGAGCAGUGCCGUAAAUGAAUCUUACAAUACACUGUUCUCCAUAUGUUGUAAAAAGAAUAAAGCAGAAGAGAAUAAAUAGGUCUUGAUCAAGGAUCAAUCAAGACCAAUAUGUAUUAUACAUCCACUUUCAAGAAAGAAAAGGUCAAACCAAUUCCACCGGGACCAUAAAGCCUAUUUGAAAAGAAAAGAACAGAGCAAGAUCGUUAAUAAUUUAAGCUGUGGAAAAAUGCAAAAUCACGUCAACCACUUUCACUGGCGUGCAAAAGUUUUUAUGUAUCCACUGAAACAUUUAUUGUUGCUGAAUGAAAUGAUCUUAGGUUGACCUACACAACUCUUUCUUUCAGUACUCCAGUAGUGCAAGCAUGUCAGUUUAGUCAAUAGUUUCUCCUACACAUAAAUGAUGUUUAUUAUAGAAUUUUGAUAAUGGGUACAAUAAGAAAGUAGUUGCAGAGAAAAUAUUGGGGGUUGAUGUGAUAUCUAUUGACUUGGAGCAUAAUAAAUAAUUACAAAAUCAUUGUUUGUCUUUUAAUUUUCAUCAUACUCAUUAAAAAAGUAUUAUGAUUACAUAGUCAGUGAUUUAUAUUCACAGAAGACAAAAGUAAUGAAUAAAUAAGCUACCACUUGCAAUUAAUAAAAUGCUAACCCUAUCUGGUAAGGUAGCCCUGUUCAUUGAAAGCAAAAGCAACAGAAUCGUUCACUGUGCUGCCACAAAAUGAUUGUCAUGGAAGGCACCAAAGUUUCCAAGUAACAGACAAAGUCGAAGUAGUUAGCACUAUGAGGCGAGGCUGAAAAACUUGUUCCUCACGGUAAAUAAUUUUUAAUAACGACCUACUGCUAAUCAUUGUGUUUGUUAAUCUCUGCCUUAUGCCUUAGCUUUAACAGCACCUCCAUGUAAUCCUCUCAACCCAGUACACGGGAUCAGAGUCAGGCAAGCAUGAAGUUCAUCAGUAAUCAAAUCUCUUCGGUAAAUAAACAAAGCAUAUUGAUUGAGUGCCUCAGUGUAGCAACUGGAGUGCUUAAAACCAGAGAUACCUCAGUUGCUGCCCAAUAUCACAAUCCAAUCAAUCAAGAUGCUACCAAGAAUGAACUGAUUUGAAGUUCAAUUGAAAAUGGAAUUGAAACAAGAUGAUGAUGAAAGAACAGAAAGCAAUUAAGAUCAAAUUGAAUCAAAGAAUUGAAAGAACCAACAGAGGACAAAUCGAUUCAACGUGGUUCAGCUAAUUUGCAUUAGUUUGCAUCCAUGGGAGGAAAUUUCUGAUCAGUUUUUAUUGAUUCUUCAAGAUGCAUUACAGAGUACAAAGCAAGGAACAAGAUGUAUUACAUAACGCGAGUUAGCUAACUCUAACGAACGUAAGCAGCUUUCUACAAGCACGUGAGAUGUCCGUGCUUCAUUAAGCAGCUUUCUAGCCUUUUACUAGACGUGGUUUCAUUUUAUUGAACCAUUAGAGGGACACAUCAGUAGUCACAAAAAUGCCCCUGUAAUGGCAAUCCUUGUAAUCAUUUGGCUGCCGCUCUUCAUUCCACUCCCAAGUACGCAGCCCAAACUUCAACUUUCUCUGAGAAGGUAAUGAAGCGUGGCUCUGUCUCAGUAAUCUGUCUUUCAUAUUCCAUGAAAUGAGCCAAAGGAGGAAUGCUUCUAUAAUUAGUAGCAACCACCAAUCAUAUUGAAGGAAUUUUCUGCAACAGAUAAAGAAAGAGCAGCAGAGAACAAAGCUGUUAAUCAAUCAACACAUGUAAAGCAGUAUUAGUAUUUCUGCCUUAUUGUAGUGCCUAAGCGGGUAUUAGGAUUUCUUCACAAGAACGUUUACUAAGAUAUUCAGCCAAGUAUGAAGUUCAUCAAUAAUCAAUCUUUUCUGGAAAUAAACGAAGCAUAUCGAGUGCCAAACUUGCCCAGCCUUUGAAACAGGAUUUCAGAGAAAGCAACAGAACAAAGACAGAAAAUACAUUCAACUGAGCCCAACACCAGAAAGCAUCAUAAAUAUUAUUUAUUUUUUGUACACAAUUAACGAAACCAUGGCCGAAGCACAAAACAAUGAACUCUCAACUGAAAAUCCUAAGCGAAAUUUCUUAUUUAUGGAUAGACAGCUGAAACAAAGAAACCAAAAAAAAGUCCACCACCGUAGGAUCAGGAUUUAUUUGUGUAGACAGCAGAAGUGAAGACAGAAAGGAUUCUGGUUGGAAUUGAAGCUCGGGCUGCAGUUAUGAUGUUUUCUGCUCUGAUUUCACCUACACAAGUCAUUGAAGAAAUUGUGAAAAAUAAGAUUUUUUAAUUACAUUUUUUUGUCUUAACUAUUAAAACAAAUGAACGCGAUAUCUGCUAGGCUCAUGGUUGAAUAUACAAGGGUACUUAAGUCUCCACUUCUGCUAAAGAGGGCUUGAUGAUUGGGGUGAGUAUCGGAAACUCUAAAAGGUACUCAAUGUUGAGACAAAUUAGAAGAAAACACUUUGUAUAACCAUCUUUAUAUUGAAGAGAAGGGAAAAAAAAAGUAUAUGAAAUUGGAUAAAUAAUUAAAAGUUGAAUAAAUUGGUUAAAACGAGAAACAUACAUCAAAUUCAAUGGGGGCUAAUCAAAUUCCAUAAGGAUAUAGUUGAAUGCCGCACUGUUCCUUAUCCUCAAAUUCCCGUAGCUUUUGUCUCAGCUCUGGCUGAGGCCACCAGCAAUCGAACUUGUUUAAGCUCUUUAUGCACCAGAGCUGUUCAGGCAUCCUUUUCAAGUAAGCACAAGGGUUGAUAAUCAAGCAUUCUAGUUUUGGCAUGGCCCCCGUCCCCAUAGUCCACUCCUCUAGCCAUAGCAUUGAUUUCAGGUGCAAUACCUUGAGAUUUGGAAAACCAUCAGAGCCACAAGUCAGCUUCCUACCUGAAUACGAGUUUUGCUUCAGUUUGAGCACUUGAAGAAGUGGCAGCUUUUCUAGUGCGGGCAUGGGAUCCUCCAUAAGUUCCGUAUUAGAGAAACUCAAGUGGGUUAGUCUUGGAGGAAAUUGGUACUCAACAAGGACAAUUUUGGAGAAAGCUGGCAUCUUGAUUUCGUUCACCAACUUCAAUGACUCGAGGCAGCUCAAUCUGCAAAGACUUUGGGACAACAAAAAUUGAUAAUAACUUAAAUCUCCCCAUAUCCGGAGAUUUCGAAGAUUAGGUAGUCUGCCCAAAAUGUCUUCAGUACAGCAGCAAGGAUGCAAGGCUGAAAUGAAAUUGAGAUUUUCCAGAGAGCCGCAGUAUUUCCCUGGAUGCGCAGGAAGUGUGAUUGACCCAAAAUUUAGAUGCCUGAGUUUGUUCAUCUUCCAAAAUUCAUCUGCUGUAUGAUCUAUAUAGCUAAAGGGCAUGUCUAGGGUGUAGAGGUUCGGAAGAUUACUCAAUAAUGAUGGAGGCAGGCUUUUGAGGGAAGGGAUAUUCAACUUCAAAUAUCGCAAAAGAAAUAAAUUUUCAAUUCCAGACGGAUAUUGGAUGAGAACAAGAGAUCCCAAGUCCAAUACUCUGAGAAGUUUGAACAUUUCACAAAUUUUCUGCCAAUCUAUGGGGUCAAGGUGGUCGCUUUCUGAAGUGAAGUACAACAAAGAAUGCAGGUGCGAGUCAUAAUCAUCUAAGUAAGCAAAAUCACUCUGUUGUUCUAAAGCGUAGAAACGUUUGACAUUUUUUUGUGAUUUACCUUCUGUAUCCAUGAAAGGGGAAAAGAUAAAUUCCACCUCGGAAGCCACUCCUAACAAUACAGGACGGCAACGACCGGGAAUAGAGCAUGUGUUGAUUGUGCCUCCAGCUCUUCUCUUAUUUGCUUCGACAAAGCCUCUGUUGAUUAGUUGCUCUAAGUACUUCUCAGCAGUUGCCUCAUUAUUGUCUGAAAUGAAACCUUCAGCUAUCCACAGCUGAUAUAACUGCCUGGUGGAUAUCUCUAGGUGUGCGGGAAACACAGAGAAGUAGAGAAAACAAGGUUUCAAGACAAAAGGUAACAUACAAUAUAUGACGCAUUGAAGCCCAAGCGACAUGGUCAAUACUUCGUCUAUAUUUUCUUCCAAUGAGAUGCUUCCAUGAUACAAGAUGUGGAAAGGCCAUCCUUGGUAUGUAGCUCUCAAUGGUCCUCCAGUGGGCACAAAAUCAAGUCCAAUGUUCUCUCCGUUUUCGAACUGAAAUGAGGUGACAAUCUCAAUUUGAGCGAGUGUUAUUAAUACUCUACUUCCAUUCUGAUUAUCGGGAAGUAUUUUUCGAAUAACAUCCCAUGCUGAUAUUCUCCACACAUUAUCAAAAACAAUCAAAUACCGCUUGGUCAUUAGAUAUUCACGAAGAAUAUUUUUUUUCAUUUCAUAAUUUUUAUCCUUCAUUUCACUCAGUCUAGAUGAAGGCAUUAGAAACUUAAUAAUGAUAUCUAAUAUUCGGUGAGCAUCAUAGCUGUGAGGCUCUGGAACCCAAGCGUGACAAUCAAAAUAAUGCUUCACAUAGUUGCUGCUGUAAGCCUCUGCGGCGAAUGCCGUCUUGUCCAAUCCAAUGCUAUCAAGUAUGGCCACUGCUGAAAGUUGAGGUGGUCCUUCUAUCAAUAGAUCUAACAACUCCUCCAUUCUAUCAUCUAGACCCACCGUGUCCCUAUUCUUAGACGAUGAAGAUGCAGGAAAAUUGCCGGCUUCAGCUUCAAUUGAUUUGAGCUCAUCAAUGAUUCCGGAAUCGAACUGCUGAACUUGUUGCAUCCGUUGUUUUAUAUCAAUGAUUUUGCUUUGGAGUCCUAGCAGAGCAUCACAAAUGUCCAUGCUGCGCCCGCUUUGACUCUUCUGUUGAGUGAUGCUGUUGACGAAUGUGUCAAUGACCUUCUCAGAUUCAUACGUAAAGCAAUUGAUUUCAUCCAUAACGGUCCCAAGAUCUGGGUUGUCAAUUUCAACUUCUCCUAUUUUUUGCAUCAGAAGGCAGGAGAUAUCAUCUUCAAAUUCACUCAGCCAAGAAGUAACGAUUUCAACCUCCGCAUGAAGGUUCUGAAUAGGUUGUUUUGCAGCAUCAGGCAACGUGACUUCUUCACCAGCUAACACCCGUCCCAGCCUCUCGGAAAAUAGUCUGAAGUUGAUGUCCAUAUCUCCUCCUCUCUCUGUGCCUAGUGGUCCUAACAUUCAAAUUGAGACAUAAUUGAGAGAGACAAUGAUUAAAAGAUUUUAAAAAAUAAUAAUAAGAAAUCUUUAUGUCUCUCAAUUCAAACAUUAACCAGCAUUAAUUGUUGAUGAAACUCUACUCAGAACCAUAUGCCUGAUACCUCCUUCUCUAAUUAAUCCUGCCGAGUGUUGCCAUUCAAAAAGUUAAAUCAUGAUUGCUGACAGUCAAAUUACAAGAGAUGAAAGGCAGAGUGCUGGAAAUGAAUCUUAUAUCCUCAUGUUGAGUAUGCAUUCUCAACCAAGAUUGGUGACCAAUCAUUACGUAAAACGAAUAGAAAGAAAAAUUUUAUAAAAUGCAAAUUAGCUUGGAAAGAUUCUACCUAGAAACCAUCAUGUGACAAAUUAAUCUCUUUGUCAACGCAUUUCUAAAUGUAAUAUAAUAAGUUUCGUCCUGGAAAUGAGCAAGAUGAUGCUUGUACUCAAAAUAAGCUAAGCUAGCCUUCAAUUUUUUUUUUUUUUAAUUUCCCCCUUUUUAUCUGAUUUGUCAUCAUAUGAAACGUGUGAGGAAAAACAUAACUUGUAAACGAGAAUCAAAUGCAAAUAAAUCGUGAACCUAACAUUCAUGAUAUAAAAAUAAUAAAAUGGAGUUAUUUUGUGGAUAAUUCAAAUAUUAAACUACCUGUUUUUUCUUGAAGUGAUCACAAACUUCAAUAUCCCGACGAUAUAUAUCUUAUUUUGAUUAAAAAACAACACAAUCAAAUUAUUACAUAGAAAGAAUAGGAAAAACAAAGCUGAAUUUUAUUUAAAUUGGGUAUUGAUAGAUGAAUGAUUUUGUUAGAAUUGAAAAUGAUCGUGCAUGUGAAAGAAAAAUAAGUUCAGAGAAAAAUAAAAGAUCAAGAUCAUUUAAACUUUACUUGUAAGUAAAGGAAAAUAUCUUGGUUCAAGAAAAGAAAGAGAUACCAAACUCACAAAAUGGAAAAGGAGAAAGGUUAAACAAAGACUUAGUUCAAAGAAAAGAACAUGAUGCUGGUGUCCUGUCAUCUUUUUUUUUUUAUAAUUAAUUUUCAUUUUUCUUUUUCCAAUUUUUGUUUUUCCAAUCCAAAAAAUGAACGCAAUAUACAUUUGCUAACUGGGAAAAAAGUCAUUUUGUCUCAAAAUAAAAUGACAAUAUAUCAUGAUUACAAGAUGUCUUGUGUUGGGUUCAGUUAUUCCAUGUGAGCCAACCACCCAUGUUGAGAAGAUGAGCGACUUUUAAGGGGAAUAAAACUGUCUGCCUCCCGAGGGGUAUUUAAGAAAACAGUGUACACCAGAAGUGGGGGAUCAAAAGAAGGAAUGAAAAAAGAAAAUUAAUCUUCCAUCGUAGAGAAUGAGAGAAAAUUUAUAUUAUUUCAUCUUUUUUUUUAGGGAUAUUAUCAUUUUUCUACCAAAAGUAUUCUGACACAUUAUGUCAGUACCACGGUUUGGUAAAACUAUCAAUUUACCACCAAACGUUUAAACUGUUAGCAUUUAAUAAAUAAAUUUGCCCUUUAAAAAUUAAAUAAAUUAAAUCAAUUUAUGAAGUACCUAGCACCACACAGUCAAUUUUACAAAAUUCAUGAAGGGUAAUUUUUGCCCUUUAAGAAGGAAAAACACCAAAUGAUGAUUUAAUUACAAAAUUCAUAAAAGGUUAUUUACACGGUCUUUUACACUCCAGGGGUAAAAUUGACCUUUUAUGAAUUUUCCGUUACAUAUUAAUUGAGUUUUAACGGAAUGGUGGGAAAAUGCUAACAGUUUAAAUAUUUGGUGGUAAAUUGAUGGUUUUACCAAACCGUGGUACUGACAUGAUGUGUCAGACUACCUUUGGUGGGAAAAUAAUAAUAUCCUUUUUAUUUUUAUUUUGCUUGAGUUAUUUCCUUAUAGUCAACUAUUUAAUUUGCUUCAAAUCUAACUUAAGCAUAAGAGAGUUCUCGCCGGAUCCCCCACCGGUGAGUCGUGACCGGUUUUUGUAGUUUUCAGGCUGCAGAUUUAAGUUCAUAUCAACAUUCAAAUUUUGUUCGUACUAGUUUUCGACUCGAAACAAAUUCAGUUGUUGAGCUCAUUUUUCGACAUCAACAACUUGGACAUUCUUAAGAUAGCAAAAUCAAUAAACUCAACAUUAUGUUACUGGCUAAAGAGUGAAGAAACCAUAAGAAUCCAAUGACAACCAAAGCAGAAGGAUCAAUUUUAAUACAAAAGGGAAUUCCUCUGCUGCAAACAAGGGCUUUGAUGUGAUUGUAAGGAAUUGAGAGUGAGCAGCAGCACAUCCUCUCGCCAUCAACUUCAUUGCACUGCAUUACAAGGCAAAUGUGAAAACGAUUACAGCUGCCCUUUAUUCUCUUAGUGCAAUUGGGCUGCUAAUCAACCAAUAGAGAAAGAAUUCAGUCAUCAAUUCUAACAAAGCUUCCAAAACCUGCAACGCUACAACUAAAUUUUAAAUCUUCCACUUUCAGAACUUUACUCGUUAAAUCUCCUUUUCAAUUCUACCUAGUCCUUACUGGAUCCUUAAAGUCACCAAGGAUUAGUGAUGGUUUUUUAUUUUACAAGGGCUGCUGGACAACCCAGAUUGACGAGGGCUAAAAUCUCCAUAUAUUUGGAGGCUAUGAAGAUUAGACAAUAUGCCCCAGUUUUUUUUUGUUGUUGUGUUUAAUCCUCUGUUAGUACCAAGAUCACACACCUAAGACCCUCUUUGACGUAUCAAGAAUCAUUCCCAGAAACCCAAACUCAAAAUUGAAUCAAAGUGCCUACAUCCACUGAAGAACAAGGACCAUUUCAUAAUCAUUCCAAGAAUAUACAACUUUUUCUCUUUAACUCUCUCUUUCUAUGGCUUUGAUGAGACAUGUGAAGAUGACCCAACAACCAGCCAUAUAAACUACAAUAAAGGCUAUUUCCAACAAACCCGAAAUUUCCCUGCACUUUUUUAACGAACCCCAACUGACUUUGGACCAGCAUUGUCGCCCUUACAAUGAACGACACGUCGGCGAAAUUCCAAAAAAUCGAACGACAAUAUCGUUCUGUCAGUUUUAAGAUGAUGAGAUGUGAUCACAGCACAAACAUUUUUCGUCUCACUAAAGUAAUGAGAUUGAACUGUACCACUACUCAAAAACUAGAAAAAUAAAAUAAAAUAAAAAACAAUAACAUAUAUGCAACUACAAUGUUGACAAAUUGAAUACACACCAGUGAACGUGAAAAUAUAAAGUAAAACAAGAAAAUGACAUAAUCCCUGAAAACAAAGAAACCAAACAAUUCUUAUAAGAAAAAAAAAAACCACACAAUUUCAGUGAAGGCUGGAUUCUUAUUGAAAUUGAAACUUUGGCUGCAGUACAGUUAAGAUAUUUUCCGCUCUGCUUUGACCUACACAUACAAGUAAUUGAAUAUCUUAUUUUACAGUUUUUCUUGAUUAUUUCAACAACCAAUACAUAAGGGUUCUGCCUCUUCUAUUAAUAAGGGAUUAAUGAUUAGUGUCAGUAUCGGGGAAUGUGAUGGACACUGAUACGAAUUUAUAUAUCAAAUUGGAGCCAUCAGAGGAGGCGCAAGUGGAAGAGCUCAACCAAGAACCCACAGUCAGUCAACCCAAGGAGGACAUUCACCAUGAGCUAGUGCAAGAGAAUCAACGGCCCAAACGAAACAAGAAACUUCCAGACUGGCUACGAGACUACGUCGUUUAGGAUGAUAUGUAAAAGCAUUGUGAUUGGCUGCGUUUGUUUUGGAUUCUUUUUUGUCAUUUUCUGUUGCGUUGUCAAAUUGGUUAUUUUCGAUUGUCUGUUAUAUAUUGCGGGAUUUUGUCAUUUUGGGAAGGCAUGAAAUGAAUGGACCACUUUUCUUCCUCUCUAUGACUCUUCUUCUUUUCUUCUUUCUCAUUUCUCAACUUCCAGUUCUUUCCUCUGGAGCAAACACUCGCUCGAAGUAGUGAUAAUUUUGAUAUUGCUCAGUUUCACGAAUUAAGAGCAUAUCACUGGUGCUUUCAUUGAUCAUGGCAAAUUCUGAAAUUCUUUUUGCUUUACAGACCUUUCAAGCAACUUUUGACGCCAAACUUGAUGGGCAACAACUGUCCAUCCAUCAAACAAUCUAACAAUUCAUGACAUCAGUUGACUCUCGUUUUGAGGAGUUACGUAUAGAAAUUCAUGGGUCUUCCAACAAACCAGUUGGUUCCUCCAACCCUUCACACCCUUCAUCUUCUAAAUAUGAUGGCGUUCUUCAUGGUUCUGAAGUUUCUCCAGUACUUCGUUCCAUGAAAAUGGAUGUGCCCAAAUUCGAUGGGUCUGACCCUACUGGAUGGAUUUUUCGAAUAGAAGAAUUUUUGACUUUCAUGACACACCUGAGAUCCUCUGACUACGGAUUGUCUCUUUUCAUAUGGAGGGUCGCGCUGCCGCGUGGUAUCAAUGGAUGAAGAACAAUCACUUGGUCACUACUUGGCAAGAAUUUUUAGCUAACUUGCGCUAUCGUUUUGGUGCUUCUUUGUAUGAAGAUCCCCAAGGUGAUUUGUCCAAAUUGAGCCAAACUACCACGGUUGCCGAUUUCCAGUCAGCUUUUGAAGAUUUAAUGAACAAGGUCACUGUAAUUUCUGAACCUCUUUUGAUUAUUUUUUUCAUCACUGGUUUGAAACCCAACAUUCGACGGGAAUUGUUUUUCUCUAGACCGUCUUCAUUAAUGGAAACUUUUGCCUUAGCUCGUGCUUUUGAGGCCAAAUAUGACGAAGUGAAACAGAGCUCACGCUCAUGGCCUAAAUGGCAGCAACCGUAUCCCCUUUCACCUGGUUUCCAAACACAACCCAAACCCAUUUAUCCAUCCUCUUCACCUGCAACUGUUACCACAGCCAUCACCCCCGUAUCAUCUUCAACUCUUCCCUCACAAACCCACAAUACCAAUAACUCCAACACUUUACCUGCAUUAUUACCGACACCAACAUUACCUAUUCACCAUUUGUCUCCAGCCGAACUUCGCGACAAACGCGAGAAAGGUUUAUGUUACGAUUGUGACAAAAAAUACAGCAGCAAUCAUCGCUGUCGCAGUAAAUUUCUACUUCUCAUGGGCAUGGAUGAUGAGGAAUUGGAACCCAAACAUAACGAGGAACCAUCAGAAUUGGUAGAUGCUGGUAUUACUGGUGACAUCUCUAGCUUAAAUGCUCUAGCAGGGCAGGCCAAUCCUCGCUCUCUUCGUUUAAUUGGAGAAAUUGCUUCGCACACCUUUCAAGUGCUGAUUGAUAGUGGCAGCACUCACAAUUUCAUAAAACCGGCGUUAGCGGAACGAUUGGGGUUAGCCAUUCAUCCCACUACCAAUUUCCGAGUGUAUAUUGGCAACGGUGACUUCCUGGUGUGUAAACAGUUCUGUCCUCAAGUGAACUUAACAAUGCAAGGCACGACUUUUAUGGUAGACCUCUUCAUUUUGCCAAUUGAGGGCACAGAUGUAGUCCUUGGCAUUCAAUGGCUACAGAAAUUGGGCAAAGUGUCCUAUGACUACUCUGCCCUUACCAUGGAGUUUUCUUUAAAUGAGCAACCAGUGAUGCUUCGUGGUGAUUUGUCUUCUAAUACUUUGAUCACUUAUAAUCAAUUGCAGGCAUUGGUUCAAAGUGAUACCGUGACCAGCCUUUGUGCUUUACAACCAGUGCCCGCCAUCGAUGCUUUGCCUUCAUUCUCCAUCACAGACACUUCCUCACUUGAAUUUCCUUCUUCCCUUCCUGCUCAAUUUCUCAACCUUUUACAGCAAUACAAACACCUAUUUCUCCAACCUUCUAGCCUACCACCACACAGAACUAUUGACCACAAAAUCCAUUUAUUACCCAACACAUCCCCCAUCAAUGUUCGUCCAUACCGCUACCCACACUUCCAAAAAUCUGAAAUGGAAAAACUGAUAAGGGAAAUGUCAGAGCAGGGCAUAAUUCGACCUAGCCAAAGCCCUUUUUCCUCCCCGGUUCUCUUGGUCAAGAAAAAAGAUGGCACCUAUCGGUUUUGUGUUGACUAUCGUGCAUUAAAUGCCGUAACCAUCAAAGACAAGUUUCCUAUACCGACAAUCGAUGAGUUGUUUGAUGAACUUGGGGGCGCCACCAUUUUUAGCAAAUUGGAUUUGCGCGUGGGAUACCAUCAAAUUCGUGUCCACAACCGCAACAUAUACAAAACGGCAUUUCGAACACAUGAGGGCCAUUAUGAGUUUCUCGUCAUGCCGUUUGGGUUGACAAAUGCCCCAUCCACUUUUCAAGCCACAAUGAAUCAGAUUUUUGCAGCUCAUCUCCGGAAAUUUGUGAUUGUUUUUUUUUAUGAUAUCUUGGUUUAUAGCUCCUCCAUGGCCGAGCAUUUGCUUCAUCUUGAGCAAGUAUUAGCUUGUUUACAUCUUCAUCAAUUUUUUAUUAAAUUAUCCAAAUGUUUGUUUUGCCAGGCCACUAUUGAGUAUCUAGGCCAUAUUGUUUCAGCCUCGGGAGUACAAGCCGACCCCCAAAAGAUUGAUGCCAUGCUUAACUGGCCAAGUCCACGUUCUAUCAAACAGUUGAGGGGUUUUCUUGGUCUCACUGGAUAUUAUAGGCGCUUCAUCCGUGGUUAUGCUUCCUUGGCAGCCCCCCUCACUGAUUUGCUGCGAAAGGAUGCCUUUCAAUGGAAUUUGACAGCCAUGGAGGCCUUUGAAGCUCUUAAACAAGCAAUGGUGCAAGCUCCAGUCCUUAAGUUGCCGAAUUUUGCUUCCGAAUUCGUCAUUGAGACCGAUGCUUCUAAUGUAGGCAUAUGAGCCGUACUUACACAACAUGGGCAUCCGAUUGCUUAUUUCAGCAAGAAGUUGGGUCCCAAAUUGCGGGCUUCUUCCACUUACAUCAAGGAGUUGCAUGCAGUUGUAGAACCUGUGUAUAAGUGGCGGCAGUAUUUGUUGGGCCGAUUCUUUGUUAUCCGCACGGAUCAUAAGAGUAUUAAAGAACUCCUUCAACAAGUGAUACAAACACCAGAUCAGCAAGUUUAUCUCCGUAAAUUAUUGGGUUUCCAAUUCCGAAUUGAGUACAGACCAGGCCGUACCAAUAGCGCUGCUGAUGCUCUAUCCCGUGUCCAUGAAUCAGCUCCUGAGGAUAACAUCAACAUCUCCCCCACUUGCCUUUCUUUUAACAGCCAUCCUUUAUUUGAAUUGCUGCAGUCAUUACUUAAUGAGAAUACCACAUUACCUGAUUUAAUAUCACUUCACCAGCAACUUUUACAAGGCAAACUGUCAGCUGACUUCUCCGUUCAAAACGGAUUUCUUCUCCACCGUCAGCGUUAUUACAUCAGUCCUACCUCCUCUUUAAAAGUCGUACUGUUGCAAGAAUUUCACUCUACGCCACUGGCAGGUCAUGUGGGUGUCACUAGAACCUUAAUCAGAUUAUCUUUAACAUUCUAUUGGCCCAAAAUGCGUCAUGAUGUGGAAACGUUUAUCCGAGAGUGUUUAAUAUGCCAGCAAACUAAGUAUUCCACUUAAGCCCCUGCUGGUCUUCUUCAACCAUUGCCGAUACCUAAUAUGGUUUGGGAUGAGGUCACAAUGGAUUUCGUUACAGGUCUUCCGUUAGCACAAGGUUUCUCGGUCAUAUUGGUUGUUGUCGAUCGUCUUACAAAGUUUGCCCAUUUUGGUCCGUUACCCUGUCAAUUUACUGCCCUCAAGAUAGCUGAACUCUUUGUGGACAUGGUCAUUAAAAUACAUGGUUUUCCAAUUUCAAUUAUCUCCGAUCGAGACCCAGUGUUCUUGAGCAAUUUUUGGAAACAAUUAUUCCUCUUAAGUGGCACAACUCUUCGUCAUAGCACGGCAUACCACCCUCAAACGGAUGGUCAAACGGAAGUGGUGAAUCGAGGAUUGGAGCAAUAUUUAUGAGCUUUCACUCAAGCCAAACCACAGAAGCGGGUUUCCUUACGGAGUUGGGCAGAAUUUAGUUAUAAUUCUCAUUUCCACAGUGGCUUGAAGAUGUCGCCCUAUCAAGCUUUAUUUGGCCGAUUGCCUCCAACUAUUCCUCAUUAUGCUAAGGGCUCUACUUCAAUCCAAGCUUUGGAGGACAUUCUCCUUGAACGUAAUACUCUUCUCCAGUCUUUAAAAGCUAAUUUGAGGCAGGCACAACAUCGAAUGGCUCAGAAAGCUAAUGCCCAUCGCCGUGAAGCUCACUUUGAAGUAGGGGAUAAAGUGCUGGUUAAAUUACAGCCAUAUAGACAGACCACUAUAGCUUCUCGCGCCUGUCAGAAGUUGGCCAAGCGAUGCUACAGGCCAUUUACGGUACUUGCUAGAGUGGGGUCUGUAGCUUACAAAUUGGAGUUACCCAGUACUUCCAAAAUCCACUCGGUUUUUCACAUCUCUGUCCAUAAGCCUUAUCAUGGCAACGACCCUGCUAUUUCACAUCCUUUACCAGAGUUGAGUGUGGAUAACCAUCCUCUUUUGCUACCGGCUGCCAUUUGUGCAACCCGAAUAGUGUUGCAACAGGGGAAGCCAACGCCUCAAGUGUUAGUUCAAUGGACCGACAGUUCACCGGAGAAUUCGUCUUGGGAAAACUUUGACGCCUUUUGUAAGCUCUAUCUAGCAUUUCACCUUGAGGACAAGGUGUGUUUUCCAGAGGGAGGGAAUGAUACGGAUUUAUAUAUCAAAUUGGAGCCAUCAGAGGAGGCGUAAGUGGAAGAGCUCAACCAAGAACCCACAGUCAGUCAACCCAAAGAGGACAUUCACCAUGAGCCAGUGCAAGAGAAUCAACGGCCCAAACGAAACAAGAAACUUCCAGACUGGCUACGAGACUACGUCGUUUAGGAUGAUUUGUAAAAGCAUUGUGAUUGGCUGCGUUUGUUUUGGAUUCUUUUUUGUCAUUUUCUGUUGCGUUGUCAAAUUGGUUAUUUUCGAUUGUCUGUUAUAUAUUGCGGGAUUUUGUCAUUUUGGGAAGGCAUGAAAUGAAUGGACCACUUUUCUUCCUCUCUGUGACUCUUCUUCUUUUCUUCUUUCUCAUUUCUCAACUUCCAGUUCUUUCCUCUGGAGCAAACACUCGCUCGAAGUAGUGAUAAUUUUGAUAUUGCUCAGUUUCACGAAUUAAGAGCGUAUCAGACACUUCGAAGUCUUUGUUGAGACAAAAAUUAGAUAGAAAACACUUUAUGGUGUCAUUAUUAUUUAGGCUGCUGCGUACUAUCGAAUCAAUCAUAGAGAAUAGAUGUUUACAUGAAAUUAGAUAAAUAAUUAGAGGUUGAAGUUAUUGGAUAAAAAGGAAAAAAAACUUACAUCAAAUUCGAUCCACGCUAAUCAAAUUCCAUAUGGAUAUAGUUGAAUGCCAUACUGCUCCUUAUCCUCGAAUUCCCGUAGCUGUUGUCUCAGCUCCGGCUCAGGCCACCACAACUCCAAUUUGUUUAAGCUCUUUAGGCACCAAAGCUGUUCAGGAAUCCUUUUCAAGUGAGCACAAGGGUUGAUGAUCAAGCAUUCUAGUUUCGGCAUGGCUCUAAUCCCCAUAGUCCAUUCCUCUAGCCAUAGCAUUGAUUUAAGGUGCAGCACCUUGAGUUUUGGAAAGCCAUCAGAGCUACAAGCCAGCUUUCUACCUGAAUACGAGUUUUGCUUCAGUUUGAGCACCUGAAGAACCGGCAGCUUUUCUUGUGCCGACAUGGGAUAAUCCAUUAGCUCAAUAUUUGAAAAACUCAAGUGGGUUAGACUCGGAGGAAAUUGGUAUUCAGCAAGGAUGAUAUUUGAUCGCCGUGGAAUCUUGCUUUCAUUCGCCAACUUCAAUGACUCGAGGCAGCUCAAUCUAUAGAGACUUUUGGACAUCAAAGAUUGAUAAUAACUUAAAUCUCCCCAUAUCCGGAGAUUUCGAAGAUUAGGUAGUCUGCCUAAUAUAUCUUCAGUACAGCAUUAAUGAUGCAAUGCUGAAAUGAAAUCGAAAUUUUCCAGAGAGCCGCAAUAUUUUCCUGGAUGUGCAAGAAGUGUGAUUGAGCCAAAAUUUAGAUACCUCAGUUUGCUCAUCUUCCAAAAUUCAUCUGCUGUAUGAUCUAUGUAGCUAAAGGGCAUGUCUAGGGUGUAUAGGUUCAAAAGACUGUUUAAUAACGAUGAAGGCAGGCUUUUCAGGGAAGGGAUAUUCAAGUUCAGAUAUCUCAAAAGAAAUAAAUUUUUUAUUUCGGAAGGAUAUCAGAUGCGAACAAGAGAUCCCAAGUUCAAUACUCUGAGAAAUUUGAACAUUUUACAGAUUUUCUCGCAAUAAGUGGGGUCAAGGUAGUGGCUUCCUGAAGUGAGGUGCAACAAAGAAUAGAGGAACGAGUCAAAAUGAUCUAAAAAUGCAAAAUCAUUCAAAUUUCCAUGAGCGGUGAAGCGUUUCACAUUUUCCCGUAAUUUAACUUCCUGAUCCAUAAUUGGGGAAAUGACAAAUUCCCCCUCGAAAGCCACAGUCAACAACGCAGGACUGCAACGCCCAGGAAUAGAGCAUGUGUUGAUUCUGCCUCUGUCACUUCUCUUCCCUGCAUCAACAAAGCCUCCAUUGAUUAGCUGUUCUAAGUAUCUCUCAGCAGUUGCCUCGUUGUUGACUGGAAUGAAAUCUUCAGCUAUCCACAACUAACAUAAUUGCUUGGUGGAUAUCUCAAAAGUGUGCGGGAAACACAGAUAAGUAGAGACAACAAAGUUUCAAGUAAAAAGGUAACAUACAAUAUGCAACGACUUGAAUCCCUCGGGGUUCAUCAAGUGCUUUCUCUAUAUUUUCUUUCAGUGAGAUGCUUCCAUGAUAUAAGAUGUGGAAAGGCCAUCCUUGGUAUGUAACUCUCAAUGGUCCUCCAGUGGGCACAAAUCAAGCCCAAUGUUCUCUCCAUUUUCGAACUGAAAUGAGGCGACGAUUUCAAUGUCAGAAAAAAUAAUCACAGUGAGUUAAACAAAUAAACCAGUAGGUAAUUUGACUGCAGCAAAACAGCAACUGAAGAAAAUAAACUCGAGGCCUAUAAUACAGUGUCCUUAAAACAGAUUUAUCACCUAUUGAAGUGCUUUAGGUUUCUUGAUAACUGUUUCCCAGGAUACAACGGGCACGAAUUUUCUUUCAAGCACAGACAGAUAAUUCCCGCGAACCACAACAACGGUAAACUCGAUCAGAAAACAAGACAAAAGAAGGAGGAAAGAAAAAUUGUAAGUGUUCUGUGUGCUGGUUUCAGUGUGUGUAAAAACAGAAGAGGAAGGUGCCUUUUUAUACUCAUGUGGGUACGUAACAAUAGCAUAAAAAUUGAAUUUCGGAAUUCAAUAUAUGCAAUUUAAUUGCUGUAACAGCCAUUGAAUUUUAAACAAUUCAAUUCAAAAAUUGAAUUGCAUAACAGCCCAAAAUAAUUGCGAAGCUGUUACAAAUCUUUUGAAUUCAAAAGGUGUGAAACUGUUACAACAAAUUUAAAAGGAAAUAAAAAACGUGCCAUGCGAGCUUGGGCUGACAUUCGCGGGCACACACGAGUUCAACCAAAUCAGUCAUGAAUUCGCCCCCCCCCCCCCCCGGUGCACGCGUGUGGGGAGAGAGCCUCUAUCCUUAAAAUUCUUGUUCAUGCAUGGUUAAGUAUUUAUAUAUAAAUACUAAUCCCUUGGCUUCUUCAAUGAGGAUAACAAAGCCUCCAUUAAUUAGCUGUUCUAAGUAUUUCUCAGUAGUUGCCUCAUUUUUUUCUGGAAUGAAACCUUCGGCUAUCCACAAUUGAUAUAAUUGCUUGGUGGAUAUCUCAAAGUGUACGGGAAACAUAGAUAAGUAGAGACAACAAAGUUUCAAGUAAAAAGGUCACGUACAAUAUGCAACGACUUGAAGCCCCCGGGGUUCAUCAAGUGCUUCCUCUAUAUUUUCUUUUAGUGAUAUGCUUUCAUGAUAUAAGAUGUGGAAAGGCCAUCCUUGGUAUGUAACUCUCAAUGGUCCUCCAGUGGGCACAAAAUCAAGCCCAAUGUUCUCUCCAUUUUCGAACUGAAAUGAGGCGACGAUCUCAAUUCGACUGAGUGUUAUGAAUACUCUACUUCCAUUCUGAUUAUCGGGAAGUAUUUCUCGAAUAACAUCCCAUACUGAUAUUCUCCACACAUUAUCAAGCACAAUCAAAUAAUGCUUGGUCAUUAGAUAUUCAUGAAGAAUAAUUUUUUUCAUUUCCGAACUUUCUUCCAUAAUUUCACUCAACCUACAUGAAGGCAUCACAAACUUAAUAAUGCCGUAUAAUAUUUGGUCAGCAUCAUAUGGUAAAGAAUCUUCAACUCAAGCGUGACAAUCAAAAUAAUGCUUCACAUAGUUGCUGCUGUAAGCCUCUGCAGCGAAAAUUGUCUUGUCCAAUCCAAUGCUAUCAAGUACGGCCACUACCGAAAGUUGAGGCGGUCCUUCUAUCAGUAGAUCUAAUAACUCCUCCAUUCUAUUAUCUAGACUCACCGUGUCUCUAUUCUUAAAAGAUGAGGAUGCAGGAAAAUUACGGGCUUUUGCUUCAAACGAUUUGAGCUCAUCAACGAUUCCGGAGUGGAUGUCCUGAACUUGCUCCAUCUGUUGUUUUAUAUCAAUGAUUUUGCUUUGGAGUCCUAGCAGGGCAUCACAAAUGUCCUUGCUGCAUCCGCUUUGACUCGUCUGUUGAGUGAUGUUGAUAGCAAAUGUGUCAAUCACAUUCUCAGAUACGUAUGAAAAGCAAUGAAUUUUGUCAACGAUAGCCUUAUAAUCUUCUAAUUCUGCAAGAGUUUGACCCUCUUCUGCAUUGACUUGCUACAUAAACCAAGCAGUGUUGUAUCCAGAGUCCCUCAGCUAAGAACCAACGAUUUUAAUCUCAGUGUAAAGGUUCUGAAUAGGUUGUUCAGCAGCAUCAGGCGCCGUGAAUUCUUCACUAGCUAGCACCCUUCUCAGUCUCUCUGAAAAUAGUCCAAGGUUGAUGUCUAUAUCUCCUUCACUCUCAGUAGUCAGUAGCCAACAGCCCUAGCAUGGAAAGAAAAUAAUUAUAAAAAAAAUGGCUAAAAGCUCUCCUUUUACUUCAACAUUAGUCAACAUAAUCAACUGAGGAUGGCACCAAUACCUUAUUCUCUCAAGAAGUUGAAUCAAGUUCAGGUGGCUGUCAAAGUAGAACAGAUUAAGGCAGAGCAGUACUGGAAAAUGAAUCUUAAAACUAAAUGCUGCAGGUGCCGUGGGGAUACUGAUUGAUAAGAGGAAUUAUAUUGAGAAAUUAUUGAUGUACAAUAAUGAUUUUCUGCGAAAACCUGAGGUAUAAUGUACAUGUAUAUAAAAUAUUCUUUAUGCUAGAAGAUAAAAGGGUGUCUUAUAAUUUGUGUUUUAUAUAUAUGUGUAUGAAGAAAGUAAAAUAGGCUAUCAAGACUAGUUUCUUUUUUGCCCUCUCAAAAGACUGAAAGAUUAAAAAUAAUUCCGCUGGGACCAUAAAGCUUGCCUAGAGAGAAAAAGCAUCACCUUAGAAUCUGAUUCAUUGAUGCAUCAAAUGCAUAAUAGUCGCCAUUGUUUAGAGAUUUUCUUUUCAAGCGCUUUACAGACUACAACAGAAUACGUAGGGAUGGCAAAACAUCGGGUCGGGCUCGGGCUUGGCCAAACCCAACCCGACCCGAUCAAUAAAGAACUAAAGCCCGACCCUAAAAAAAGCCCUAUCUAUUUAUAGUUAGGGUCGGGUCGGGUCCGACCCGAAUCGGGCCAACAUCGGGUCGGGCUAAGCCCGACCCUACCAAAACCAUUUUCCAAAUGCUGAAAUGUAGCUGCAAGCCUGCAACUUGCAUUUCCAGAUUGCUUAAGCUGCUCGUGUGCUGUCCAAGGCUCCAAGCUGCUCAUGUGAUGUCCACAUGCCUCAAUUAAUUAACCACCAAAGCACUAAAAUGCUAUGCCGUUUUGAUGCUUAUGGAAAUUCCACAAUGGAAUCAAUUUGAAGGUCACACGAGAAGCACAUGACUAACUUAAACAUGAAUAACAAUAAGGCUGAUAUGCAACCACAAUUCAAUUCUCAAUUCCACAAUCAUUUCCAAAACCAUUUUACACACAAAUCAAUUCCAAAAUCCAACAUGAAAAAUACAUAAUACAAUUAAAUUAAAAACACACAAUGUAAUUUUUCAACAAUUCUAACCAAAUCAAUUCCAUAACCCAACAUAAAAAAAAAAGUCUUAUACAAUAAUACAAAUAAAAACUCAUAAUUCAAUUCCACAACCAAACUUUUUUUUUUUAAAAAGAACUACUCCAACACUUGCGGGCCACUUUCAUCUUCAUCCACAAAUUCCUCUCCAUUAAAAGUUUCACUUUCGAGAAUUUUACCUACAAAAAAAAAAAGAAAAUGAGAAAAUAAUUCAAGUGUAUAAAAUUAUUACUAAACCAAUUAUUUUGUACAUUAUUUAUAUUCAUACCUUUGGAGUUUGCCCAUAGCCAAUGUUGAGUGCACAUAAGCGCUUCCAAUGUCAUAGGAUGAAGUCUACUUCGAUGUGGAGUCAAGACUCUACCUCCAGUGCUAAAUGUCGAUUCAGAGGCAACGGUUUUCACGGGAAUGGCUAAGAUAUCCUUGGCCAUUUGAGCCAAAAUAGGGUAUUUGCCUUGGUUCACAUUCCACCAAUUCAGAAUAUCAAAGUCCGAAGUGGAUUUGAUUAAAGGCUCUUCUAAAUACCUCUCAAGGUCGGACUUCGAUACAAUGGUCUCACUAUUUUGGGUUGCAAAUGCCUCAAACUUCUUUAUAUCAAAAAAUUUACGGCCAGUUCCUAAAUUAAAAUUAAAACGAACAUCGGCCGAAGAAGAUUCACCAACAACCGCAUCACUCACAUUCCCACUUUUAAUUUCAUAAAACUUGACCAAAUCGUUACUUAAAUUGCGCACCCUUUGAAUCUCAUUUGCAGCACCCUCACCAUAAAGUUGUGGAAAAUAAUAAUUAACCAAUUGCAUCUUAAACCUCGGAUCAAGAAUAACUGCCAUCACCAAAAUCCCAUGAAUUUGGGCCCAAUAUUUAUCAAAUUUCAUAAUCAUUUGACCAGCCAUUUCUCUAACCACAGGCACACUAUAAAGAUCCCAUUCAUCCAAAUUAAUCCUCAUUUCACAUAUCAUUGGAAAAAAAAGAUUAGAUGUAGGAUAUUGUGUACCUGAAAAUAACUCUGUCAUAGAGUAAAACGGCAGUAAAUAUUCCAACAUCUUUUCAGCCAUCUCCCAUUCCUCAUCUGUUGGCAAAGAGGUGUAGUGUUUAUCGCGCUGCUGCAGUCUAGAAAAGACUAUUUUAUAUUUCACAGCAACAUCAAGCAUAACAUAUGUAGAAUUCCAUCUAGUUACACAAUCAAGUACCAACUUUUUCUCACACUUAACUUGUAAUUGCCGCGCAGCCAUUUCAAAAGUUUCUACCCUCUUUGGUGUGCCUGUCCAAUAAGCCACACUAUCCUAAUCUUUUUAAUCCACUCCUCAAUCACUUUCAUCCCAUCCUUCACAAUUAGGUUUAAAAUAUGAGCCACACACCUCAUAUGAAAAAAAUUCCCACCCAUUAACAUAGAAUCAGCUGGAAUCAAUCCCAUCAAUCUAUCAACCAUAGCAUCAUUGGUGGAACAAUUAUCUAAAGUUACAACUGAUAUCCUUCUAUCCACAUUCCAAUCCAACAUAAAUUUGAAAAAUGCUUCAGAAAGAAAUUCAACGGUAUGUGGAGCCGGCAAAUAUAUAAACCUAUUCAUUACCAAAAAAUUAAAUUUUAGAAUUAAUUAAAUUGAAUUAAAAAUAAGUAAACAUAAUAUCGAUUUUGCAAAUAUAUGAACCUAUUCAUCACCAAAAAAUUAAAUUUUAGAAUUAAUUAAAUUGAAUUAGAAAUAAGUAAACAUAAUAUCGAUUUUGCAAAUAUAUGAAUCUAUUCAUCACCAAAAAUUUAAAUUUUAGAAUUAAUUAAAUUGAAUUUAAAUAAAUAUCAAGUAACAAGAAAAGUACCUUAAAAUUCGACUUUGUAACCGCCAAGACUUGUCCACAAAAUGUCCCGUAACAACCAUGUAACCCUUCUUUUGAUUACUCGCAGUCCACAUGUCUGUAGUAAUUGCCACCCUACUAUCAUUAUUCUCCAACAAAGCCAUUGCUUUUGCCUUUUCAGCUUGAUACAAUUUAAAAAUCUCACUCUUUAAAGUGUUUCUACUCAAAUUCUUCACCAAAGGGUUGGCAUAAGACAUCAAAUCCCUAAAUGCCUCAUAUUCCACAAAAUUAAGUGGCAGCUCAUGCUUUACAACCAAGGUUGCUAUCUUUUGCCGAGCAACAAUUGGAUCAAAUUCUCUCGUCUCAAUACAACUUGUUCCAUCAUCUUUCCUCAUCACGCUAAGAGUUUUUUGUAAGCAAUCAAGAACUAAGGGAACACCCUUUGCCUUACAUGAUUUUUUCAAAUGUCUAUCCAAAUGUGAGGUUCCAUUAUGACCGGAUGCUACCAACUUAGCUUGACAAUGAUUACAUUUCGCCUUCAAUUCACCAUUAAUGGUUACCUUGGUGAAGUGUCCCCAAACAUAAGAAGGUUCCCGCAUACCUCGCUUUUUUUUAUUACUACUUUGUUCUACCCCAUCAUCAUCACGGGAUGUCUCUUCAACUCCUUCAACUUCUUGGACCCCUUCAAGAGGAAUGUCAUCAUUUGUAUCCUCUUCGCCAACAUGAGAAUUCUCAAGUGAAUUUGACAUAAUGACCUAAAUUAAAUGUGUAACAAGUUGCAAUUAAAAUAUAAUAUUUAUGGUAACUACAUAAUCAUUAUGAAUAUAACAAGUUUUAUUGGCCAUUGUGUGUGUGUGUGUGUGUUUGAAUGUCUAGAUAAAUAAAUUAAAUUGAGCUGUAUGUGAAAUUUAUUAUAUUUAUAACAAUUGACUAGUUCACAUGAUGCAGUAAGAAAAUUUUUGUAAACUAGUUAAAAUUUUAGCUGAAGACGUCUUUGAAUCUUCAAGAAACAAAGGGGUAAGAGCAUGUAAAAGUACCAUGACUUUGAAGUAAAAAUGCAGCAACAAGCCCCAAGUAAAAGAAAAGAAAAUUCAUGAGUACAAAGAAAUCAAUUUACAACAUACAGCGGGACAAAAUUAUUAAAUUCGUGAGUACAAAGAAAUCAAUCCCUAAGCUGGUAUAGCAUCCACUGGACUACUCUUUUUAAUCGUUAAUUAAUAUAUAGUUACUGAUCUAUAACAAAUUCUUUCCAUCACCACAAAAAUAAAAUAAAAAUUCAAUCUAGCGGAAUGCAUCUAAUGACAAAAAUUCAUGUAAUUACAACUUAAAAAGCAGUGAAUUGGAUUAUAAUUACAAUUUAUAAUUACAACUUAAAAAGUUCAACAUGACCGAUCGAGGCUGCAGGCUGCUGGUUUUAUGGGUAAUUACAUAACAAAUUGGUCGGAAAUAAUUACAGAACAAAUUGCCAAUUCAUGAGUUCAAUUCACUCACCUAGCGGCGUCGCGGAUGGUCACAAUGGCGGGUCACGAUGGAGAGAAACGCAACAGUGAGAUGCGACAGCGAGACACGACGGUGAGACAACACAACAGUGAGACGCGGCUGAUUGGCUGGCGUGCGUCGACAGUCACGAUGCUGCUGGCUGAUUCGGUGGCGGGCUGGGUGGCUGGCUUAGUGGCUUAGGGUUUUUGAGAAUUUGAGAGCUGUGCCGUGCCGUACUGUGUUGUGUGAUUGUGUCUUGUGUGAUGCAGCUGUUUGUGAUGUGAGCGUGCAGCGUGUGUGAUUUUUUUUUUUUUUUUGCAAAUAGGGUCGGGUCGGGUCGGGUUGGCUUUAAGCCUGACCCUGACCCUAAAUUUGUUCGGGCCUAAAAAUUGUGGCCCGAACCCGACCCGAAACCCGAAAAUUCAGGCCAAAGCCCUAAUAAUUAGGGUCGGGUCAAUCGGGUUAAAAUUAGGGCCGAGCUAAAUUGCCAAGCCUAAGAAUACGUUAUAGUUUGAAUGGUUAGAUGAUCAUUCCUGUUGAUACUGAAAUCUGCUCGCCCUUUGCCCAACCAGAUCUUUUCACCAACGUUUAUAUGAUCAACAGACAAAAUGUCACAUUCUUUCUAUUUCAACGGUUUCUUGAGUUCCUGGGAUUGGAAUCACCAUUUUUUCUUCUCCUAAGCAUGCGUUCACAAGAAUGGAUCAGAGACGCCGGUGGUUUUAUCGGCGUAAACCCUCCGAUGCUUAAGUUAGCACAAGGUGUUUACGGGAAAACUAUGUAAUUUAGAUUGUGUGAUUUCUUGUAAUGCUCUCAAAAAUUUGUAUAGAAUGUAACUUGGUUUCAAUUUGGUAGAGUUUUUCCUUUUUCUCUCAAUUUUUUCUCCCCAUUUUUCAUCAGUUUCCUGACUUCUUAUAGCUGUUGUCCCACGUUUCUGCGUACUCUUUAUGCCCCCAUUUUUCGGGUGAUGGUAGACCUUCAUGGGUCUUCCACCAUUGGAUUGUGGGUAAACGUGGGAUGCCAUGUCUCUCCCAACGGUUUGGGGCAUAACGGAACUGUCGUGAUUUCCUGAGAUCGUGUGCCCUUUCUUUGGGAGAUGGGUAUCUAGUCGGUAUACGUCUCUGGUCGAUAUAUUUCUCUGGUUGAUGCUCAUCUCUAGUUGGCACAUAUUUAUAUAAGACGUUUUACCAGGACUCUUCUCGUGCCAUUCAGCUGAGGAGAUUCGCUUCGGGGUGAGAGAUGAGGGCACGUUUUAUCAGGACUCUUCUCGUGCCAUUCAGCUGAGGAGAUUCGCCUCGGGGUGGGAGAUGAGGGCAUGGCCGAGCUAGUACGUUUUAUUACUUAACACCAAUCCCAGUUUCUGGUCUUGUGAGUGAAACGAGUUGAGAUUAGAAACUGAUAAUCGGAUCUUACCGACCCCAGGAAAUACCUAUCUGGUCUUCGUGUUAUUAUGAUGGAUUUGAGGUUCCGCCUUUUGUUUAAGGAGAUUUCAGUCUGCGUAUGGGCCUUCGUGAUCGUGUCCAAUAUAUAGCUGGGCUAACAUCUCGUCAGGCCUUUUCUAACGGUCAGUGACGUGUCGCUUCUUGCCUUUUCGUAUUUGAAAUUUAAAACGACGACUUAUCUGUCCUCGAUUUACGGCAAGUGAGCUGGCAUCCGUGUAACUUAAACGCCUCCAUUUCCCCUUUCAUUUUAAAUCCCUAAAUUAAAACUGUCAUUGCGUUUCAUUAUUUGCCAUUCUACCGUAAGCCAACUCCCUCCUUGGACUUUAAUCAUACUUUCAGCGUCAGAAACCUUUGUUUGCUGGGUCCUUUCUCCGUCACAGCAAUGCUACUAGUGCCAGUCUAUUCCAAGUAUCGCCUUUAACUUCUUCUCUGGUUGUUGUUGCUUGGGUUCUGUAUUAUCCCUUUUUGUACCCCUAUACUUGGAUUUACUGUGCUUUCCCUUUUAAGAUUUCGAUAUGUCAAACCGAAAGGGAAAAAUAAUUAUAGAUGAGAGUGACGAAGAGAUAGAGGAUUCAUACCCCAACCUAUUUGGACCCAAUGAUCCCCUACGCUCUUCUCGCAGUGUAGGUCCCUCAUAUCAUAAGGAUACCCUUGAAUACCCUCGCCCCAUGACCAUUUUGCCUUCCCCUAAUUUAGAACCCGUGGGAAAUCGUGGUGGACCAGCGUCGGGCUCUGGUGAGAAUCACAGUUCUGGGGGGCUGGGGUCCUUGAGGAAGUGGGUGAAGGUGAGGAGAGUAGUUCCGAGCCGAGCAGACCCUCUAAGAAGAGGAACCUUGGUCAUAGAAUGGAGGCAGAUGCUUACCCCAUUAAUUAUAUCACCUGUGCUACUACCCACACUGACCUACUCAAGCUUAGAAACCUUUAAAAUAUCCCUGAGGAGGUUCUCCUUGUAAUCCCUGGGAAAAGUGACGUCCCCAGUCGGCCUCCCAAGGGGUAUGUGACGAUGCAUCUAGAAAGUUUCAAGCUAGGGGCUCGGUUGCCCCUUCAGCUUUAUUUUGCCAGGAUAUUGGGUGGCAUGCAUCUGGCUCCAGGUCAGCUUCACCCGAACGUGUGGAGGGUUCUUUCAGCCUUGUAUGUGCUAUGGGAAAGGUGUGGACUCGGGGAGCCUUCCCUUGUGGAAGUAAAGCACUUGUAUCAACUGAGGAGCAGCCCAAAAGAGGCUGGCUGGUACUACUUCAUGUCGAGCUCUGCAAAGAGGAAGCCUAUAAGCUAAAAUGUCGACCUCAACCGUAGGCCUUACAAAUCUAAAGUGUCGACCUCAGUUGUAGAUCUUACCAAACUAAAAUGUCGACCUCGACCGUAGAGCUCACAAAGCAAGUGUCAACCUCAACCAUAGGCUUUACAAAACUAAAAUGUCGACCUCAGUUGUAGAUCCUACCAAACUAAAAUGUCAACCUCAACCGUAGGCUUUACAAAACUAAAAUGUCGACCUCAAAUGUAGAGCUCACAAAGCAAAAGUGUCAACCUCAACCAUAAAUCUUACUAAGCUAAAAUGUUGACCUCAGUUUUAGAUCCUACCAAGCUAAAAUGUCAACCUCAACCGUAAAGCUCACAAAGCAACUAUCGACCUCAACCGUAGGCUUUGCAAAACUAAAAUGUCGACCUCAAAUGUAGAUCUUACAAAGCAAGUGUGGACUUCAACCGUAGGCUUUACAAAACUAAAAUGUCGACCUCAAUUGUAGAGCUCACAACGCAAAAGUGUCGACCUCAAUUGUAGACCUUACAAAACUAAAUUGUCGACCUCAACCAUAGGCCUUACAAAUCUAAAGUGUCAACCUUAAUAAAUUGAAAAUUGUAGAACUUAAAUGUUAUGGCUAUGGUCGACCUCAACAAGUUUUCACGUUGGACCUCAACAAGGCCAAAAUGUUGAUCUCAAUCUCAAUAAGCUUGGAUAAAUUUUUCAUGUUCGACCUCAACAAGGCCUAAAUGUCGAAACUCAAUCUCAAUAAGAUUUGAUAAAAAAUUUCACGUUGGACCUCAAUAAGGCCAAAAUGUCUAUCUCAUUCUCAAUAAGAUUAGAUAAAUUUUCACAUUCAGCCUCAACAAGGCCUAAAUUUCGAUCUCAAUCUCAAUAAGAUUUGAUAAAAAAAUUUUCGUUGGACCUCAAUAAGGCCCAAAUAUGCCGAUCUCAAAUAAGACCGGUCACAAGUAGGUAAGAAAUAGAGUUGCACUUCUGAAUAACCUCAUUGAUAUUAAUAUGGCAGAAAUUAAAGAAUUGAACACAUAACGAAUUGAAAUAACAAAGAAACAAACUAUCAUAACAUAUUUAAAGAAAACAAACAAACAAGAACAUCAUAAAUAAGAUUGGCCUACUGAUAGUAUUUUCGUAGGUGCUCUGCAUUCAAUGCCUUGCCGAUGACCCUGCCAUCCGGAUAACCUAACUUAUAUGUGCCAUUACCAAAUGAAUGUAGUACUUUGUAUAGUCCUUACCAGCUCGGCCCCAGAACUUCAUCAGCUGGCUUUUUAGUUGAUUGAUUGACUUUGCGGAGCACCAGGUCCCCCUCCUGAAAUUGUUGUAGCCUGACAUUCUUGUUGUAGAACUUAGCCACUUUUUACUGGUAAAUUACUGCUCGACCUCUUGCCGUCUUUCUCUUCUCAUCAAACAAAUCUAAAUCCAACAACAUAUGUUCCCUGUUUACUAUCUCAUCAUAAUAUUUUGUGCGGUGUGUCUCCAUGCCAACCUCAGUUGGGAUUACUGCCUCAUGUCCGAAAGCAAGCAAGAAUGGAGUCUCCUCCGUUAAAGUCUUCACGGUCAUUCUAUAGGCCCACAGUACUCCUGGAAGCUCAUCCACCCAAGCUCCCUUCUUCUCACCCAACCUUUUCUUCAACAAUUGCUUUAUAGUUUUGUUCGUCGCUUCCACUUCUCUGUUUGCCUUCGGAUGAGUAGGUGAGCUAAAUCAAAGUUCAAUAUCAAGCUGACCACAAAACUUCUUGAAAUUCUCAUUAUUGAAUUGGGUUCCAUUAUCAGUGAUAAUAGCUUGUGGUAGGCCAUUUUUGCAAAUCAUAUUCCUCCAUAUGAAAUAUGUUGUGCGCUUCUCGGUUAUCUUUUGUAAUUGUUCAACUUCAAUCCACUUAGUAAAAUAAUCAAUGGCUACCACCGCGUAUUUCAUUUGGCCUCUCUCGGUUGGCAUUGGUCUGAUAAGAUCCACCCCCCAUUGUGCAAAUGGCCAAGUGCUCCCCAUUGUCAUCAUGUUUUCUGGUGGUCGUCUUACAAUUAUGGCGAACUUUUGGCAUUCAUCACAUCUCUGAACUAACUCUUGUGCAUCUUCAUGCAUGGUCGGCCAAAAAUAACCAUACCUUAUUAUUUUAUGGGCCAAUGCCCUACCUCCGCUAUGAUUUCCAUAAAUUCCCUCGUGCACCUCUCUCAUCACAUUGUUGGCAUCAGCUGAGCCCAAACAUCACAGGUAAGGUAAAGUGUAACUUCUCUUAUAAAGCACACCUUCGAUAAUGGUGCAUCGUGUUGCCUGGCAUCGCAGCCUUCUUACCUCUGCUUUAUCUUGAGGUUGUUCCCCAAAUUCAAUAUACCUCAUGAUAGGCACCAUCUAGUUCUUCUCAUCUUUUACCAUACAAACUUUCAUUUUGGAAUCAGCUAUACAUGGCUUUGAAACUGACUCCAAUAGAAUUCCUCGUGGGAACUUUGGGCAUUCUAUAGCUGCUAGUCUUGCUAUAUAAUCUGUUCGGUAAUUCUUUCCCCUCAGAACUUGCUCCAUUGUAGCGUGAUCAAAACUACCCCAUAGCUACAGUGCUUUGCUCAGAUACUUGGACAUGUUCUCACUUUUGGCUUGAAAUGUCUCAUUCAGGUAGUUCACUACCAGUUGAGAGUCAAUCUUCACCUUCAAAUGUCGAACUCCCAAUGCUCUUGCUAAUUUUAGACCCGCAAUGAGAGCUUCGCAUUCUGCUUCAUUGUUUGUAGGAUGUAAUUCAUACUUGAGAGCGUAGCAUACUUCUUCCUAGUCGGGCGAAACAAGAACAAUUCCCCCGCCUGACCCUUCUGGGUUUGCAGCUCCACCUACAUUAAGCUCCCAUACAUCAUUAUUCUUCUCUGCCUCUUUAAUCUCCUGCUCGGCAUCCAUCUCUUCACUCUCUUCACUGUAAUCAUUAAUGAAGUUGACCAAAGUUUGUGCUUUAAUUGUUGACCUCGAUCGGUAACUGAUGUCGAAUUCACUUAGUUCUACCGACUACUUAACUAGUCUUCCUGAAAUGUCCGGUUUGUGCAAAAUUUGUCUCAAAGGUUGAUUAGUGACUACCACGAUCUCAUGAGCUUGAAAAUAUGGCCUCACCUUUCUUGCGGCUACAACUAAAGCCAUCACCCACUUUUCUACAAUAUGAUAUCUUACUUCUACCCCUGUAAGAGAUCUGCUCAUGUAGUAUACAGGUCGUUGUACUUCAUCUUUUUCUUUUACCAUGACUGAGCUAGUUGAAUAAUUUGAGACCACCAAGUAGAUCAAGAAAACAUCACCCACUAAGGGCUUCGCCAAAGUGGGUACGUUGGCCAAAUACGCCUUUAAAUGUUAAAAUGUUGUCUCACAUUCUUCCGACCACCUCAAUCUUUUUCCUUUCUUUAUCAAUUUAAAAAACAAAUGGCAUUUAUCUGAUGAUUUCAAAAUGAACCUACUCAGCGCGGUAACUUUUCCAGCUAAGCUCUGAACAUCUUUACGAUUCUUCGGCGACCUCAUCUUGAGGAUGACCUCUACUUUUUCCAGAUUAGCUUCUAUCCCCUUUUGACUAACUAGGAAGCCCAAAAAUUUCCUUGAUUCUACUUCAAAGACACACUUUGCCGGAAUCAACUUCAUCUGAUUCUUUCGUAGCACUUCAAACGUCUCACGCAAAUGCGUUGUAUGUUUGACUGGCUCAACAGACUUGGUUAUCAUGUCAUCUACAUAUACCUCCAUCGUUUUACCAAUCAAGGGCUUGAAAAACUUGUUUACCAAUAUUUGAUAAGUAGCUCCAGCAUUUUUUAAUCCGAAUGGCAUCACAUGGUAGCAAUACAAUCCUUGAUCAGUCACAAAAGCUGUCUUUUCUUCAUCUGCUGUGGACAUACGAGUCUGGUUGUAUCCUAAGAAUGCAUCCAUAAAACUCAUCAAGUCAUGCCCGACUGUUGAAUCCACUAACUAAUCAAUCUUUGAGAGAAGGAAACUAUUUUGAGGACAAACUUUGUUGAGGUCGGUAAAGUCCACACACAUCCUCCAUUUUCCAUUCGCCUUUUUAACCAUUACCACAUUCGAAACCCAUUCUAGAUAGUUCACUUCCCUUAUAAAUCCCACUUUCAACAAUUUAUCUACCUCAUCAUGGAUGGCCGCAUACCUUUCCUGGUUGAACAUUCUUCUUUUCUGCUUCACUGGCUUAUGUUUUUUUAUCUAUAGCUAACUGGUGACACAUGAUUCGUAGGUCUAUUCCCGGCAUAUCUUCAUGUCUCUAAGCAAAUAUGUCAUUAUACUCCACUAAUAAAUUCUGAAGCUCAUUGGAAAUGUCAUCUGUUAUCUUUGUUCCCACUCUUACUACUCUGCUUAGAUCAUCCUCACUUACUGGCACUUGUUUCAUUUCUUCAUUAGGUUGCUGUUGGCAUAACCUAUUUUCAGCUCGUGGAUCAAUACUUGUGAUCUGUAUGGAUUCUCUCGCAAUUGUAGUGUAACAGCUUCGAGCCACUUGUUGUUGGCCCCUCAUCACUCCAACUCCACCUUGAACUCUAAACUUCACACAUUGCAUAUGAGUUGAGCUCACUGCUCCUGCUAUCCUAUUGAACGGUUUGCCCAAAAUAACUUGAUAAGGGCUUGGCUCAUCAACUACCAAUCAUGUCACCAUCAUUGUCUUUAGUAACCUCUUAUCUUUUAUUGCAGCAUAUAUUUCUGCUCUGCUCGUGUUCAGUGGUGUGUAUCUUCCACUCUGUUCUAAUAAAUUCACCCCAUUAGCAGGUCUCGAUCCUCUCCGGUCUACAGGUGGUGGCAACCUAUUGUAAUCUCUUACUUGGUUCUCCCGUUGGUUCCUCAUAUAAUUAUUUCCUCCAUCUCGGCCUCUUCCUACUAAUGAGAUUCCUCUUCUUUCACGUUUUCCUUCCCAAUUUCGACCCGACCUUUCUAGUUGUCUAUAAUUAAACAACCCUUUGUCGUAAUGACUCCUAUCAUCUGUGUUCAUCCUCGAGCUAUACCCAAAGUUAUCUCCUCUCCUUCUCAGGUCUCCCCUUCUCACCGAACCCUCUGUCUGCAUUUCCAUUCUCCUAUUUUCUUCCUCUGCAUCUUCAAUUUUCAUAUCCAAUUUUUCUUGGUCGUGCGCCUUAGUAUAUGUUGUUAUCCUCUUACUAUAUAAGCUAUUCCACAAUCGAUUGAUUCUCAACCCCUUCUUUAAUCCCUCUAGAGCAUCCGGGUGAUCAAAGGCCCCUAGAUCGGUAGCCUCCUUAUGAUACCUGGUCACAAAACUCCUCAAACUUUCAAAUUCUCGUUGGACCAAUUUUUUCAAUCUGCUCGUAUCUUGCUCUGGUAUGCAUGAACCUCUAAAACGCACAACGAAAAGCUCACAUAACUCCUUGAAAUUUUCUAUGCUUCCCUUCUUUAAUCUUCGGUACCACUCCCGUGCUUGUCCUUCUAAGGUUAAAGGAAAAACACAACACCUUUGAAAAUUAUUCAAACCUUGGAUCCCGUUCAUCUUAUUAAACUUCUCCACGUGAUGAUUCAGGUCAGUUUUUCCUUCAUACACCAAGGCUGGAACCACAUACUUGGAUGGCAAAGUUACCACCAUCACUUUACGUACCAAGAGGGACUCGUCAUCAAGUAACAACCUUCCUAUUACUUUCUUGCCCUCUGUUUUCACCUCUAAUGCCUCUAGUGUUUUUUGAAAUUGCAGCAUUCGCUGCUCAAGCUCAUUUGCCUGGUGGGCGUCUCUCAACUCUUCCAUCUCCCUUUCUUGAUUCAAGUCAUUGAUUUUCCAUCUCAACUCAUUCACUUGUUCUCCUACACUUCUAUUCUCUUGUCGUACCCCAACUUAUGGUAGUCCCUUUCCGCUCUGCUGUUCACCACCAAGCUCUUCCAUCUCUCAUGUUCUACUACUCUCUAGGUCACUAGCUCGAACUUGAGCACCUCUGACUUGGGCAUCAACCAACCCCCUGAUCAUCUCCUCAAAUUUUGCCAUGUGCCUCUCGAUCCCUUCUCUCCAUCUCUUAUCUGUCGUGGCAUUCAUUUCCUCUGCCAAUUGGCGCAAGGUCUACCUAUUUCCAUCAUUAUCAUCCAUUGUUGUUUCGUAAUCUGAUAGCCUUCUCCUUCUAAAUCUUCAAACGUAUGGCUUUUCGUACCUUUCCUCACAGACGGCGCCAAGAUGUUGAUGCUGAAAAACGACCUCAACAGCUGAAUUUGUUUUCUUUUGGGGAAUUACAGUGCGAAUCCAAGCUCAAACGUCGGUCUGAACCCAGCUUUAUAUUCCUGACAACCAGAAAACACGGUUAGGAUACGCCGGUGGGGUCCCGGCGUAGACCCUCCGAUGCUUAAGUCAGAAAUUGUGUAUAAGAAAAAGGUAAAUGAGAAGGGAGAAUUGUGAAAAGCGAAAAUUAAGGAAUUUUUUCGGUAGAGAAAACUAAAAAUCUUGUCGGGAAUCCUAAGACUUUUAGAGAGGUGACUUAUAGAAUUUUUGGUUCAUUUUUCUAACCCCUUCCUCAGUUGCCCCUUUCAGCUUAAAUAGGCCCUUGGUCGUGGGUGGUUACCACCUUUAACUUCUGCCCACUGUCUUCAGCAGUUGCACGUGGUCAUCAGUUGGAGACGGUUUAAAUGGAUCGUGGCACACAACUUUUCGAGAAACUAGGCCACGUUAUCUCAACCGAUAGCUUUCUAUGUCAAGCUAAUUCUCGGGUCGGACAAAUAAAUUUCGAGGUCGGAUUUCUUCACUUUCAGAUCGGACCGAUGAAUUUCCUAGUUGCUCAUAUAGGCUUAAGGUUGUAUUCUUAAAUAAGGUCAUUUAUAUAAAUCUCAGGUCGUACUUGUAAAUCAGGCCGCCAACAUAGGCUCCAGGUUGUACUUACGAGGUUAGCUCGACGACAAUGAGUUCUGAGUAGAUUGGGGUCGACUAUAUUUCUAAACAUUACUAGAAAAAUCCAACCCGAACAAUGUUGACUCUUUCUAGAGGUUAUCAGAAAAAUCCAACCCGAACAUUCAUAAAUUAUUAAUCUAAACCUGCUGGUUUUGAUCCAAUUUCUUCUAUGGUUUUACUUGUUUGUUUUAGAGCUAAGUACAAGAUCAUCCAUUGAUCUUGUCUCCAUUGGUCUUGAUUGAUCUUGGGGUUUCAUUUGAUCUAUGAAACCUUGGAUUGUUUCAAAUUUUCUUCUCUGUUUCAUUGAUGAAUCCCGAUGGCUAUACAAAAUCGUCUUUCCUCUACUGCAAGCAGGGGCUUUGGGGCGACUGCAAGGAACUGGGAUGAUGGUACGUGUUCAAGCGUGCAAAUUUGCAGAGAAUGAAUUGAGCAAGUGUUGAUUGUGCCUCCAGCACUUCUCAUUUUUGCUCCAGCAAAACUCCAUGACUAGUUGUUCUAAGAACUUCUCAGCAGUUGACUCAUUAUUGUUUGGACUGAAACCUUCAGCUACCCACAAUUGAUACAAUUAAAGUUUCAAGAAAAAAAAUAAUGUGAAAUGGUAUUAAAUCCUCUUACAAUUUGAACUUAUAUGGGUUUUGAAGAAUCUUAUGAUAUAUGUGUAUUUUUAUUUAUAUACAAUCAAGAUUUAUUCAUUAUUUUAUUUCAUAUAAUAACACAUAAUUACAUAAUUGUAGUAGCUCAGAUCGGUAUAGAAUCCUAAAAUGUGGAAUAUGCAAACAUUUGAUACUCACUAGAGAUAUGCCAAGUAUCUAGCCAAUUCUUUUCUAAUGACACAAUUCCAUGGUAGAAGAUGAGAAAAGGCCGUCGGUAACUUUUAGUGGUACUCCUGCAGGCACUAACUUAAUCCCAGUGUUCUCUCCAUUUUUCAGUUGGAACGAUGUGAGCAAGUCUAUUUGAGAAAGCUAACAGUCUAAUUCAAUAAUGGGCUGAAGAUCUUUUUCUAAUUCUCCAUCAGUUUUGAUCUUUUUCAGCAUUUGAUCGCAGCAUAAUCCAAGUUGUGUUGUUUCCACAAGCACUCAGCAAAGAAGUAACGAUUUCUUAUCUCUGCGUGAAGGUUUUGAAUAUGUUGUUUAGCAACCUCGAGCAACGUGACUCCGUCCCUUCCCGUCUCAUCACGCGGUAGUCCUAGCAUGCAAAGUAAUUAAAAGACAUCAUGAUAAAAAAAUAAAAAAAUAAAUCUUUAGAUCUCUUGAUGAAUAAUGAUAGAGGAGCAACUAUCUUGUAUAAAUAAAUUUGUACAGACUGAUGUGAUAUGAAAAGAUUAAUUGUAUAAAAAUAACUUUAGCUGUUGAUGAAACUCAACUCCGAUUGACACACUAUGAGUGAUAUCUAAUUCUCUAACUAAUCCAGCAGGAAGUUGCUAUUCAAAAAAUUGAAUAAAGAUUGGUGACCAAUCAUUAUGUAAAAGGAAUAGAAAGAAAAAUUUUAUAAAAUGCAAAUUAAUUAAUGUUUAGCUUUUAGGAAAGGAGGUUAGUGCAACUUGGAAAGAUUCUAUCUAGAAACCAUCAUUUUACGAAUUAACCUGUUUGUCAAUGCAUUUCUAAAUGGAAGAUAGUUGGUCCUGGAAAAUGAGCCAAAUUGUGCUUGUGCUCAAAAUAACAUUUGCUAAAUGCUAAUGUAAUUGCUACCGAAACGCUAGCUUUCAUUUUUUUUUCUUUCUUUUUAUCUGAUUUUUCAUCAUAUGAAACGUGAGAGUGAAAUCAAAACUUGUGAAUAAGAUUCAAACAUGUACAUAUAGUGGAUCUAACAAAAUAAUGAAAUGGAAUUAUUUUGUCGAUAAUUCAAAUAAUAAAGCACCUAUUUUUUCUUAGAAUAAUCACAAACUUCAAUAUGCCGAUGAUAUAUAUCUUAUUGAGAUUAAAAACAACACAAGCAACCUAUUACGUGAAAGGAAUAGAAAAAAAAAAAAGGAUGUUGAAUUUUAUUCAACGUGGGUAUUAAUGGAUGAAUGAUUUUGGUAGAAUUGAAGUUUUUUUUUUUUAAUGCAAAGGCUAUAAGGAUCAUUUUUAAUGCAAACGGGGAUUUCUCUGCUGCAAAAGACGGCUUUGGUAUGAUUGUAAGGAAUUGAGAGUGAGCAGCACAUCCUGCGUGCCAUCAAAUUCUUUGCACUACAGGCACCCUCUGCAUGCUGUGGAGGGAAAAAUAUGAAAACCAUUACAACUGCUCUUCGUUCUCUUAAUCCAUUGGGGCUGCUAAUCAAUCAAUAGAGAAAGAAUUCAGUCAUCAAUUUUGACAAAGCUUCCAAAACGUACAACACUAGAGAUAAAAUCUUCCACUUUCAGAACUUUACUGGUUAAAUCUUCUGCUCCAAAUCACCAAGGAUUAGUGCUGGUUUUCGAUUUUACAUGGGCUGUUGGACAACCUAAAUUGAUAAGGGCUUAAUCUCCAAAUAUCUGAAGAAUAUGAAGAUUAGGCAAUAUGCUCCAGUUUCUUUUUGUUGCGUUUAAUCCUCUAACAGUACCAAGAUCAAACACCCUAGACCAUCUUUGAUUUGAUGUAUGAAGACUCAUUCUCAGAAAUCCGAACUAAAAAUUGAAUCAAAGUGCCUACAUCCAGUGAAGAACAAGGAUACAAGUUGUCAAGCUUUCACUAUUUCACAAAUCAAGGUUACCAGGAUGUAGAGCUUGUUACAGAGAACAAGAAUAUACAACUUUUUAUUUCAACUCUCUCUCUCUCUCUCUCUCCAUAGCUUUGAUGAGAUUUGAGAAGAUGGCCCAUCAACCAGCCUUAUAAACUACGAUAAAGGCUAUCUCUAACAAUCCUUGAAUUUUCCUGCACUUAUUUAACUAACCCCAACUCAAUUCUGACCAGCACUCUGACCCUUAUUAUGACCGACACGUCGGUGAAAUUCCAAAAAACCGAACAACAAUGUCGUUCUGCCAGUGUUGACAUGAUGAGAUGAGAUCACAUCACAAAUACUUUUCUUCUAACUGAAGUACUAAGCUUGAAGUUGAACUGUACCGCUACUUAAAAACUAGAGGAAGAAAUAAAAUAAAAAUAAAAACAAUAACAAUAACAUAUAUCAAUUUGAAUGUUGACAAAUUGAAUACACACAAGUGAAACUGAAAAUAGAAAGUAAAACAAUUAAUCAGACUUUUGCACAAUAUAUUAAUCCGAACAUGACAUUAUUACUUUUAGCAAGCAAAUCCUUGAAAACAAAGAAACCAAACAAAGUGUGGACAACACAGCAGCAGUGAACACUGAAAGGAUGAAGGCUGGAUUCUGGUUGAAAUUGAAACUUUGGCUGCAGUGCAGUUAAGAUAGUUUCUGCUCUGCUUUUACCUACACAUACAACUAAUUGAAGAUCGCAUCAUACAGUUUUUAAUGAAUGGUGUCAGCAUUAGGAACUGUGAUGGACACAUCGAGUUUAUGUUAAGAAUGUAGAAAACACUUUAUAGUACGAUUAUAGUUUAGGCAUUUGCGCACUAUCAAAUCUGUUGUAGAGAAGAAAACAUUUAUAUGAAAUUAGAUCAAUAAUUAAAGGUUGAAGUUAUUGGAGAAGAAGAUAAAACUUACAUCAAAUUCAAUCGGGGCUAAUCAAAUUCCGUAAGGAUAUAGCCGAACACCAUACUGCUCCUUAUCCUCGAAUUCCCGUAGCUUUGUCUCAGCUCCGGCUGCGGCCACCAACACUCGAAAUUGUUUAAGCUCUUUAUGCCCCAGAGCUGUUCAGGAAACAUUUUCAAGUAAGCACAAGGGUUGAUAAUCAAGCAUUCUAGUUUUGGCAUGACUGCAAUCCCCAUAGUCCACUCCUCUAGCCAUAGCAUUGAUUUCAGGUGCAACACCUUGAGGUUCGGAAAACCAUAAGAGCCACAAGUCAGCUUUCUACCUGAAUACGAGUUUUGCUUCAGUUUGAGCACUUGAAGAAGCGGCAGCUUUUCUAGUGCCGGCAUGGGAUCAUCCAUUAGGUCAGUAUUAGAAAAACUCACGUGGGUUAGACUAUGAGGAAAUAGGUAUUCAGCAAGGACGAUUUUGUAGAGCCGUGGCAUCUUGCUUUUAUUUUCCAGCUUCAAUGACUCGAGAUUGCUCAAUCCGCAGAGACUUUUGGAUAACAAAGAUUGAUAAUAACUAAAAUCUCCCCGUAUCUGGAGAUUUCAAAGAUUAGGUAGUCUGGCCAGUAUAUCUUCAGUACAGCAGCAAGGAUUCAAGGCUGAAAUGAAAUUGAGAUUUUCCAGAGAGCCGCAAUAUUUUCCUGGAUGCGCAGGAAGUGUGAUUGAGCCAAAAUUUAGAUGCCUGAGUUUGUUCAUAUUCCAAAAUUCAUCUGCUGUAUGAUCUAUGUAGCUAAAGGGCAUGUCUAGGGUGUAGAGGUUCAGAAGAUUGCUAAAUAAUGAUGAAGGCAGGCUUUUGAGGGAAGGGAUAUUCAACUUCAAAUAUCUCAAAAGGAAUAAAAUUUCAAUUCCGAAUGGAUACUGGAUGAGAACAAGAGAUCACAAGUCCAAUACUUUGAGAAGUUUGAACAUUCCACAAAUUUUCUCCCAAUCCAUGGGGUCAAAGUGGCGGGUUUCUGGAGAGCAGAACAACAAAGACUGCAGUUGCAAGUCAUAAUCAUCUAAGCAAGCGAAAUCACCCUCUCUUUCAACAGCGUUUAACCGUUUGAAUUUUUUUGGUGAUUUACCUUCUGGAUCCAUGAAAGGGGAAGAGAUAAAUUCCACCAUAUAAGGAACUGACAUCAACACAGGAUGGCAACAGCUACGAAUAGAGCAUGUGUUGAUAGUGCCUGCAGCUUUUCUCUUCUUUGCUUCAACAAAGCCUCCCUUGAUUAGUUGUUCUAAGUAAUUCUCAGCAGUUGCCUCACUAUUGUCUAGGAUGAAACCUUCAGCUAUCCACAACUAAUAUAACUGCCUGGUGGAUAUCUCUAGGUGUGCGGGAAACACGGAUAAGUAGAGAAAACAAAGUUUCAAGCAAAAAGGUAACUUGCAACAUGUGAAGCCUACAAUCCCAACGGGUGUAUCCAAUACUUCCUCUAUAUUUUCUUCUAAUGAGAUGCUUCCAUGAUAUAAGAUGAGGAAAGGCCAUCCUUGGUAAGUAACUCUCAAUCGUCCUCCAGUGGGCACAAAAUCAAGCCGAAUGUUCUCUCCGUUUUCGAACUGAAAUGAGGUGACCAUCUCAAUUUGAGUGAGUGUUAUUAAUACUCGACUUCCAUUCUGAUUAUCUGGAAGUAUUUCUCGAAUAACAUCCAAUACAUCAGUGCUCCACACGUCAUCAAUCACAAUCAAAUACUGCUUGGUCAUUAGAUAUUCAUGAAGAAUGAUUUUUUUCAUUUCAUAAUUUUUAUCCUCUAUUUCACUCAACCUAGAUGAAGGCAUUAGAAACUUAAUAAUGAUAUCUAAUAUUUGGUCAGCUUCAUACGGAUAAGGCUCCCGAAUCCAAGUGUGACAAUCAAAAUAAUGCUUCGCAUAACUGCUGUUGUAAGCCUCUCUGGCGAAAGCCGUCUUGUCCAACCCAAUGCUAUCAAGUAUGACCACCACUGAAAGCUGAGGUGGUCCCUCAAUCAACAGAUCUAACAACUCCACCAUUCUAUCAUCUAGACCCACCAUUUCCCGGUUUUUAGAAGAUGAAAAUAUACCGGCUUCAGCUUCAAGAGUUUUGAUGUCGUCCAUGAGGUCGGAAUCCAUGUGCUUAAGUUGUUGCAUCCGUUGCUUAAUAUCAGUGAUUCUGCUUUGGUGUCCUUGCAGAGCAUCACAAACGUCCUUGCUGUGGCUGCUUUGAAUCUUCUGUUCACUGAUGCUGUUGAUGAAUGUGUCAAUCACCUUCUCAGAUUCAUACGUAAAGCAAUUGAUUUGAUCCAUAAUGGUCCCAAGAUCUGGGUCAUCAAUUUCCUCUUUUCCUAUUUGUUGCACCAGAAGCCAGGACGUUUCAUAUUCAGAGUCCCUCAGCCAGGAAGUAACGAUUUCAAUCUCGGCGAGAAGGUUCUGAAUAGGUUGUUUUACAGCAUCAGGCAACGUGGCUUCUUCACUAGCUAACACCCUUCUCAACCUCUCUGAAAAUAGUCUGAAGUUGAUGUCCAUAUCUCCUCCUCUCUCAGAUUCACCCUGAAAUCAGUCCUGUACCAUGCAAAGAAAUAAUUAAAAGAGAGAGGGGAAAAGGAAAAUAUGCUUUAAAGCUCUCAAUUCAAACAUUAGUGCUGGCUCCCAUACCUUCCUUCUCUUCGCUAGUUCUCCAGUCAAGAAGUUGAAUCAAGAUCGUUGACUCUCAAAUUAGAACAUAUCAAGGCAGAAUCUUACAAUAAUCUCGUCUUCCAUAUGAUGAAAAAAGAAUAAAGCAGAGAAAAAUAAACAGGACAUCGUCAAGUACCGAUCAAGACCGAUUUGUUUUAUACAUCCACUUUUGAGAAAGAAAGGAAGGGAUAAAAACAAUUCCACUGGGACUAUAAAAGCUUGUCUAAAAUGAAGAGAACAGAGUAAGCACAACAGCGUUAUCAAUUAUUUAAUAAUUAAGCUGUGGAAAAAUGCAAAAUCAUGUCUGGUGGGUUAAAUUUAUUGCGAGACUUGCAUGUAUGUAUAUCACAGAUAAAAUUUUUAUCCCAGGGUUAUAAAUGUAAAAUUACUCAAAUAAAUGUGCAUUAUUAAUCAUGUACGGUGCUAUCUUAUUUCUUCAACGAGAUUUAGAGAAAGUACUAAAUCGUUUGUAAAACUACAUACAUAUCCCGCAGAAAGUUGGAGAUCUUUUUAGCAUUCUUUUUUAAGAAAUGAAAAUUGAUAAAAAGUUCUAAUGUGACAAAAAAUAAUAAUAAAUUGUGCAAUCUUACAAUGUUAACUGAAAAAUAGUUAUAAUUUUUUAUUUAACAUUUUAAAUUUUAUUUAUAGUUGUUUUGUCGCCAUUGUAUGGUUCUUUGAUUCAAAUAUCAAUAUUAUAUGAACCCUCACCAUUUUGAAAGGAUUACAUCUUAAAGCACUAUUUAUAAUUAUGUUCAUUUGAGCCCUUAGUGUUAAAAAUAUAACAAUCCAUCAAAUGAAAUCAAUGAUAAUCGAAUUCCAAGUAGGAAUCGCAGAAAAAUCCGAUCUAGGUAGAGCAUGUUUUCGAAGUACUCUGGCUGGAUUUGGACUUUGGUUAAAAAACCCGAACCCAGCUCGAAAGCUCAAAACAAUUGAAAAUUUUUUAAAUAUAUGUUAUUUUAAUUAAAAUACAACUUUUAAUAUAUUUAAUCCACUCAUAGCAUAUAUUUAAAGUUUUAAAUCAUUUGAGUCCAACUUUUAAAGCCUAGUCUAACAAAGAAGAAACUAAAUUUUAUAAACUAUAAAUUUGUAAACUAUAAUGAAAAAAGUUUUUUUUUUUAAAAUGGAAUGUAUACUUCAGACUUUUUGGCUUGGCUUGAGAGAAAAAGAAAGAAAAAAAACAUGUUUUGCCAUCCCUAAUUCCAAAGCUUUAAAGACUUCUCCAAAUGUAUAGUACAACAUUGUAUAGGACCAAUCACACGGAGAUGAUUUGAAUUUUUUAACACAAUUUUAAUGCAUAUCAGAAGAGAGGCAGCAAUCUUAGUUGAUACUUUUAUUUGACAUAUGAUGUAAGAAAUGAAGCAAAGAUUGUAACGUUACAAACUUUGCAAUUCAGCAUCCAAAAUAUCACUAGAACUUGAAAUACAAGCUUUAAUCUCUUCAACAACACGUCGAAUUGCGGCCAGGAACACAGACGCAAAGAUGGGUAUCAAGAUCACAUUCAAACGAAUGACAGGGAUUGUCACAGUCAGCAUUGCUUUUACAAGUGACUGCUUUUGAUUCCGGCUGGGCAUCAACUGUCGGCAUGGAAAUAUGAAACAACAUGCCUACAUAUAUAAAUGUCAAACAAUUAAUCAGCCUAAUGGUAGUAACACACAUGCAUAUAUAAAUGCCAACCAAUUAGUUGUCAUAUUAUAGUUAAUUAUUGAUGCAGCGGAAGUUUAAUGUUUAAAUAUUCCGUUGAUUUUAGAGAAUGCCAGAAUAAAAAAACAAUUAAAUUCACAUUGAUUUAAAAGAAUGCCGCGAAUUUAGGUGUUAAGACUCGUUGAUUCCACAGAAUAUCGAGAAUUAACUGAAUUCAAAUACUGACACAGAGUUUUGAAAACUGAAAUAUUAUUAAACUCGAAUCUCUCUACUUGUAAAAGCUGCAAAAGACACUUAUUUAUACUAACCGAGACUUAUCCUAAUUUGAUUAGAAAACAUAUUUUAAUAAGACUUAUACCUAAAUUAUGAAUAUUACCCAAAUAAGCAAUACCUAAAAAUUAAGACUCUAAAUAAGAAACCAAAUUAAAUUAGAAUACAAAUUAAUUAAAAUGUAAGGUACAAUUUUUUCACUUAAAUAUAAUAUAAUUUACUUUAAGCUAACAAGCCCCUUAAGUAUUAAAAUAAUAAUAAUAUAAAAUAUUUAAUUCUAAGUAAUGAUGACAUAAACAAUGACAUAAGUAGUGAUGAUAUAAAUAAUGACAUACGUGAUGACGUAAGAGAAGUAUAUAGAGAAAGUUAAGAAUUCUAGAAUUUAGUAAGGUAUUUAUGAAGAAUAAUCUCAACUAUUGAUCAAGAGUUAUGGUGGCAAAAUUCUAUCCAUCCAUUAACCUUAAGAAAUCCUAUAAAUACCACCUACCCCAUUUCAUUUUCAAUGCAACCUAGAAAUUUCACUCUCUUCUAUUCUAAGUUAUAACAUCAAGAGUAGAGAAAUUCUCAAUUUAGAUAGGUCUAGAGAAGUCAAUGCCAUGAGGUAAGUAACACUUCAACUACAAUGUAAGGACAAAAAAAAUUUCAUACUUAACUUUAGUUUUAACCAUUCGUUUAUGUUAUGAUGCCUAUUAUGAUAUGAUUAGUUAUAAUCUAAAUUCUUAUAUGGUCGAUUCUGCUGCUUAAUCUAUGAUACUUAGUUACAUUAUGGUCGGCUCUUAUGCCUAAGCUAUGAUACUUAAUUAUGUUAUGGUUGGUUCUACCAUCUAAUUUGUGAUACUUAUACUUAAUUAUGCUAUGGUCGGCUAUGCCGCCUAUAUUAAAGAAUCUUGUUCUUAAAUAGUGUUGUGUGUUGAUUUUGUUAUGCAUCUAGGAAUUUCAAAUGUUAUGACAUAAGUUGCAUUGGAUACAUGCAUAUCAUGGAUUACAUUAUGAAAAAGAUGUUUCAGAAAAUGAAUUUAUGAAAAAUAGGUGGUUGUACUACCAAUUAGCAAAGUUUUUAAGGAGGGUAAGCCCCCAAAGCUAAGUAAAAAAAAAUCUUUUGGGGAUGACGAUACGUAACGCCCAAAAGAUCAACUAAUAAGGCCCAAGGGCAUAUUGUUUAAAGAGUAAAAGUGUCAGCCUUGCAGUGCAACAUACCUAGAGCCCUAAUGAAAUUGUUUUGUAUUUUCUAAGUUUCUUUUAAAAGCUUAAUAUGGUCAUCCAUUUGCAUCAUAAUUUAUGCAUGCAUAAAAGUGUUAUCUUACUGGGUAUUAGCUCAUAAAGUCCUUACAUUGCAGGUAACAAUGAGUAGGGCAAGCUGGAGCCAAGUCCUAACCAAGACGAAGUACAUAUGGGCAUAGCAGACCUUGGGAUUUUAUGAUGAGCUCAGCUUUGUUUCAUUAAAAAAAAAAAUAAGCAUCUUAAUUUUAUGUAAUAAUAAAGUUUUUAUACUAAGAAGUUUCUGUAUGACUUACUUUUUGUAAGAAAGUUUUGUUUGUUGUGAAUUUUUGUUAAUCUGUAUUUAUAAAAGCACAGUAUUUAAAGCAUCUUUAAAAUGAAUAUUUAAGUGGAGUUUUAUAUAAAAUAUUCCUAAAUAUUAUAAAUUUCAAUGUAAUUAGAGUUUCUUCAAUUUCUUACUCUGCAUCAUUCCCGCCAAAAUGGAGAAAAUUUGCCCUCAAAUUUUGUAUGUUGUAGUCUUCAAGAACAUCUUCAUGUGCAUAAGGAUUAAUUUUUAAAACAGGGCUUCGAUAUAGACGAAAAACUGUAAAUUUUCCUACUUUUGCAAUAACGUCCAUCCAAUCACUCUAAUGGCGUAAAAUAAAUUCUUCUAUCAACAAUUUAUCUAAUAAUGUCUUCUCGUAUUGUUCGUGUCGAACUUCAACAUAGUUGAGGAAAAAUGAUUUCUUCACAUAAUACACUAACUGUUGAAAAAUAUCACAACUAUUUUUGUCUUCUUUUGGCAAAUCAAGAGAACAAUAAGAGAUUGUAUCAACAACUACCUCUUUUUGCUCCAGAAGAUCAAAAGAUGUAGCCACAAUAUCAAGAUACUCAUCAAAUUUCGGUAGUUGAUCCAAAUCAAUGUCUUUUUGUUGAGAAUUUGUUGUAGACACCAAUAGCUAAUUAAUAUUCUCCCCGGAGGGAAUAAUAUUGUUGAGUGAAACAAAGUUACUAUUUUCCUCAUUAUCCUUAUAACAAACAUCAUCACGAACAACUUCAUCAAAUCCAUAUGUCUGCUUUAUGUGUAAAGAUUUUCUAUCUUGAAGUAAUCUUGAGAAAUCAAAUGCAAAAUCUUCAACAUCCUAUUUAAAACUUCUUUCAAGACAAAAUCUUCACGGCGAUGUUGUCAUUUCAUGAUUCAAUUGUUUUUCUUCUUUUCCUCCUUUUUUCGGGUGUUUGUUUGGGUUUCAAUUUUUUGGCUAAGAUCAGAAAAUUAAAGAAAAAUACUGAAAUAGAAGAAAGUACUGGGCCAAGGCUGAAAUUAAGCAAAAGUUUUAGAUUUCCUGUGACGGUGGUCGGAAAUCGAGCAAGGAUGGGUGGAUUUGAAAGAUUUUGGGCUGGUGAGUAUGAUGGUGGUGGUUGUUUGUCCGAAAAAGUGGUGUUUUGGCCAGAAAUUAUAGAUAAAGUCGGCAGUUUGAGGGCUUCGAUUUCCGGCGGUGUGAGCUCGAUUGGCGGUGAUUAAUGCUAGGAAAAGUUCAGCUGAUGGAGAGGAAUGGGUUGAUGGUGGUGCUUCUGGCCAUAUUGCACCGGAAAGUGGUGAACGGACGUGGUAGAAAUCACGGCAGUUUUGGCUUUUUUUCCGGCAACCUGUGGUUAAUCUACAGUGGAAGAUGCUUGGGGUUUGAUGGUUGGCGAUUUAUGAUCCGAAUGGUAGUGGUUGCGUCCGGAUCGGUGACGGAAAACUAAAGCCAGCAGCCUUGGACGGUGGGCGCGGGUUGAAGCUUUUGCUUCCGUUUUGGUUUUUUUUUCUUCUUCUUUUUUUUUUAUAAAGCUAAAUGGAAAAAAAUAAAAAAAGGAAAGGUUUGGUGGUAGAUGGGGUUAGAUUGGUGAUAUCAGAUUUUAACUCUAAUUUUAAGCUGAUGUAAUGGAAGUUUAAUGUUUAAAUAUUUCGCUAAUUUUAUAGAAUAUCAGAAUAAAAGAAUAAUUAAAUUCACGUUGAUUCCACAGAAUACCGAGAAUUAAUUGAACUCAAAUACUCACACAAAGUUUUGAAAACUGAAAUAUUAUUAAACUCGAAUCUCUCUGCUUAUAAAAGUUAUAAAAGACACUUAUUUAUACUAACUAAAACUUAUCCUAAUUUGAUUAAAAAACUUAUUUUAAUAAGAUUUAUACCUAAAUUAAGAAUAUUGCCCAAAUAAGUAAUGCUAAAAAUUAAGACUCUAAAUAGAAAACCAAAUUAAACUAGAAUACAAAUUAAUUAAAAUAUUACUAAAUAUUAUAAAUUUCAAUGAAAUUAUGAUUUUUUUUAAUUUCUUGCUUAGCGUCAAUUAUGCAUGCAUUAAAAAGAUGAGGAAGAGAAGAUUAAGUAACAAACAUGAGGCCACCAAGAGAGUAUGAAAAAUGUGGAUUUAAGUUUAAGUUCCAUAAUGUUUAUGUUAGCAAAAGUGCAAAACAGAGAGUCUGAGGAUAAUGAUAUUAUUAAAUUUAAUAUGGGUUUGGUUUGUUUAGAUUCAUGAGUUUCUCUAGACUGAUAUGUGGGGGAAAAUUUAAUCCACUUGACAACUAAAAAAUUCAGAAAUCAAACCUCAAUUUGAAAAAUUAGAAAUUUAAACAAUUAAUUUUUUUCCAUAUGCAUGCAAAAAAUUAUAUCUAUGUAACUUGUCAUAUGCUAUAUAUAUUCUAUCAGGUGGAAGAUUUUCUAUUCAUUUGUAUCAAAUAUAUGGUAUCAAUCAAUAAAUUAUUGUUUUGUUAUAUAUACUUAUAGUAUCUUAUAGUAAACUAAGAAAUAUUAAAGAUCUUCUAGCGUGUUUUGAGUCGUAAAAUGUUUAAAAAAAAUUCAAUUCUAAAGUAUAAUUAACUAUUUUGUGUCCUAGGUAUUAUAAAAGGUCUUUGAAGUUUUUGGAUUUUUUUGACCCAUUUGUCAAUAAGUGAAACUAUUAGCACCACUUUAAACUCCUCAUAAAUCUUCUCUUCUAAAAGUACACCAUUAAAAACAUAUGUAAAUCACACUAAUUUUAAUGACACCUAUGUUAAUUUCACAAAUAACCUUAUAUAUUCUUUGUGCUUAAAAAAUCAUAUGAAAACAAAAAUCUUUUGUUACGAAACUUUUUCACCAAUUUAAUUUGAAUCUAAAAACUAGAUAAGAUACUCUAGGCCAUCUUCUUGAGUGGAGCUAUUUUAAUUCCACAAACGUCCUUGUACACUUCUUUCUCACUAACUUUACUAUGAGAGAGAGAAAAAAAAAUUAAAAAUAUAUUUCUUUUAUACUAAAAAAGGUUGCUAUAAGCUAAUCCAAUAUUAUUUUAUACUCUGAAUGUGACAAUUCGCAUGCUUUUAUAUGAACGCAUAAAUUGAUAAAAUCAAGAGAACAAGUAGCCAAAAUAGUAAGGCUCUCAUAAUUUGAAAAUAAUGAACUAAAAAUUUCAGUCCAACAGAAACCACUAAUUUAAGAAUAAAAAUAAAAUAAAAAAUAUUUUCACUAUAACAACAAAAUUAUCUUUUAUUUAAUAAAAAUAAAACCCAUGUGGGGUUAGAGGAAGAGAGAUGGAUUGUCAAACAUGAUUUGAUUAAAGUUAAAAAUAUAAAUUUACGAUAUAAGAAUUCUUUUAGAGGUAGCAAUAGCUCCACUCUUUUUUUUUUUUUUCUGUAGUUCUGCAAGUUCUAGGCGCAGGGAUUCUAUGAAAGUCUUAGAGGGUGCCGAUAACUUUCAAUAAUAUGCGUGUAGGUUAAACAAUAUUGAAUUAUUAGAUGGACCUUUCUACCUCUAUUUUACUUAUUUUGGAUGGAUGUACUUUAGAGAAUCUAUAAGAUAACCAUCCUCUUAUUUGAUCCAAUCCAAUUUAAUUGACUUACCGCUUUAUGUUAAUAUAUAAUUAUAUUUUCUUUGAAUUGUUAAUUGUUAUAAUAGUUCAGAGUUUUAUCGAGGAGAUAGCUCGAAAAUCAAACUAAUUCUUACUCAGAAGGGAGCGGAAAUAAAUUGUGAUAGAAAAUAAAUUAUUUGAGUGCUCUGCGAGUCAAAGACCCACCCUCAGAUAAACAACUAUCUUAAUAAAGCAGAGCAGCAAUGUCAUUCUUCUCGUUGGGUCUUUUCUUCAAACGUCUUCUGUACAAACAGCUCACCCGCCGUCAGAAUCUAUUUCCGCUCAUAAAACAAAAACCCAGAACCCAAUCAACAACACCCUCUUCCGUUCUGGUAAAAGUUUGCAUGAUAAUGAGUAAAUGAAAAAUAAACAGUAAUUCAAAGCUAUCCGAGGAUUUUUCUCAAUUUAUCCUUUAUGCAAUUGUUUGUUGUUUAUGGGUGUAUGAUUAUAUUUUAAAACAAAUAAAAAAAAAGUAAAGGAAAAGAAAAUUCGAUAAAGAAAAAGCGCUCAUUAUCCAAAUAAAAAAAAAAAAGGCAUCCAUCACUUUAGUUUCUAACGUGGCCAUCAGUCCUUUCUUUGUCUCUUCUUUUUAAUUUGUUACAUUAAUUUGUCAGCAUCAUUGCUGAAACUUGAUAACGAUAACUUAAUAACGAUAACGAUAACGAUAUAAACAAGAUCUUGGGCAUCGGAAACUUAAUAACGAUAUCUAAUAUUUAGUCGGCAUCGUCAGCAUCAUUGCUGUAAGGCUCUGAAAUCCAAGCGUGACAAUCAAAAUAAUGCUUCACAUAACUGCUGUUGUAAGCCUCUCUGGCGAAAGCCGUCUUGUCCAACCCAAUGCUAUCAAGUAUGGCCACCAAUGAAAACUGAGGUGGUCCCUCGAUCAAUAGAUCUAACAACUCCUCCAUUCCAUCAUCUUGACCCACG